rnacentral:lncRNA from 1 species
UUUUAGUUGCUCUGACGCAACUUUGGUCGCACAAAGUAUGCAUCAACAGUCACAGAAAUGUCAACUGUAGGUCUGAGUUUAGCGCAUACUUUGGGAUUAGGAUUCUCUCCCUUUUUCUUUCCAUCUCCUUUCUUCUCCUUCUCUCACAUUUUUUAUUUUGUCUUUCUCUUUCUAUAAAAAAUUAAUAUAAGAUGUUGAAGUGGCUUAACUGUAACCGUUCAAAUAGGAGGAGAAGGAAAAAAAGAGGGAAGAGAAUCCUACUCCCUUGGUUGAUGGGUGCAUCAUUCUCCACAUAAAUUAAGGCUUGCUGAGUAAGGAUGUAAUCAAAUCGUGGAGACCAUUUCCUUGAUCCCAACCAAGUUGUUGUUGAAAAGUUAUCAGCCAUGAAAGAAACUCCCCGUGCAUGCAUUAAAGGAUUCAAAGAAUCCACAGACUCAAUAACACUUUCAUUAAUGAUCUCCGAACAUGAAUGUUCUUUUUUAGGGUAAUGCUAGGGAAACAAAAAAAUUUAAACCAAAUUUACAAAUCAAAUGAUGUGUCACCAAUAGGAAAUAAGCAAGUUAAUCAAUGCUUAAAUAAUAAUCCAAUCAUUAACAAUCAAAUCAUUUGGUUUGCAAAUUUGGUUUAAAGAAUUUGGUCCUCCUAGUAUUAUCUCCUUUCUAAACAUGUGACCUGAUAAUGAGCCGAUUAGUUAAUGCUUUGACAAUCAGUUAUUUUCGUGUCGUUUCGGAUUGGGUUAACAGGUCGUGUAAGAAAUUAUCCGGUCUAUCAGAGACUCUCAAAAGUGAGACUAUUCAUGGACUCUCUAGAAACUUUUUAUUUCAAUUUUUGGUUUUUAGUUGAAAAUUGUAUGCAGUUACCAUAUAAGAUUAUUUCAAAUAAAUAAAAACAGAAGUAAAGACAAAAUAAUGAUUAUCAAACCAUCCUUAAAUAAAGUAAAUCCAAGAUGGUUGAGGAUCUACGAUUACAUUUGAGAACACAAUGUGAACAAAUAUAUUACGCACACAAGGACAAAAGGUAAGCAUCAGGUCCCAAAUUAAAUGGAAGGUCAAUUUACUAAAAAUAAUCUAACAGGUCUAUAUCAACAUAUUUUGUAAGGCACGUACCACGCUGAUCAUUUUUUGGGGCACCGAAAUUGCUAUAAACGCCAUUCUCUCUACCACCUUGAGUAGUAUAAAUCGCAGAGCAAGUCUACCAUUUCAGUAUAUCUGCUCAUCAUCAUAUCCUUUACCAAAAUCCAGCUUGCUCCUACCACGCUAGCUAGCUACCCAUGGAGAUCCUAAACCUGCAGCUAUGGAAGUAUAUGUGCUUGGGCUUGAUCCUCAUGUUGGGAGCUUGGUCUUCUCAAGCCACUUCUCGCAGUCUGAAGGAUACAUCAAUGUACGGGAGAUACGAGCAAUGGUUGGCUCGUUAUGGUCGCGUAUAUAACGACAUCAAUGAGAUGGAAACUCGUUUCAAGAUAUUCAAGGAAAAUGUGGCGUUUAUAGAAUUUUCUAAUAAAGAUGCAAACAAACCUUACAAAUUAAGCGUCAAUCAAUUUGCAGACCUUACAAAUGAAGAGUUCAAAACCUCAAGAAAUGGAUUCAAGGGCCAUGAAUGUUCCACGAAGACGACUUCUUUCAAAUAUGAAAAUGUGACUGCUGCUUUGCCAGCAACAAUGGACUGGAGAAAGAAAGGAGCUGUAACCCCCGUUAAGGACCAAGGCCAAUGUGGUAAGUACAUAAACGUCUAGCUUCCUGCCAUUAAUUUAGAGAGACGCUAUAUAUAUUCAUCUUUAAUAUACUCCUAAUCUACUACUUUUGAUUCAAAUCGAAAUACAGGAUGCUGUUGGGCUUUUUCAGCAGUUGCCGCCACCGAAGGUGUUACACAGCUUACAACUGGUAAAUUGAUCUCUUUGUCUGAGCAAGAGCUCGUUGAUUGUGACACCGCUGGUGAAGACCAAGGUUGUGAGGGUGGCUUAAUGGACGAUGCGUUUCAGUUCAUCCAACAAAAUCACGGGAUUAGCACAGAAACUAAUUACCCCUACAACGGUGUUGAUGGUACAUGUAACACCAAGAAGGAAGCCAUCAUUGCAGCCAAGAUAACUGGCUUUGAGGAUGUGCCUGCAAAUAGUGAAAAGGCCCUUCUAACCGCUGUUGCUCAUCAACCUGUUUCCGUUGCCAUCGAUGCUAGCGGUUCCGACUUCCAAUUCUAUUCAAGUGGUGUCUUCACUGGAACUUGUGGAACGAGUCUUGACCAUGGUGUUACCGCUGUUGGAUAUGGCGUGAGCGAGGAUGGGACUAAGUAUUGGCUAGUGAAGAACUCAUGGGGUGCAGAAUGGGGCGAAGCUGGGUACAUAAGAAUGCAAAGAGAUGUUGCCGCACCUGAAGGACUUUGUGGGAUUGCUAUGUCUGCCUCUUACCCCACAGCUUAGUUAAUUAAAUCAAUGCCUACUAGGUGUUUUCCUUGUAAGUAGUCUGAUAUGUGUAAAAUAUUUAUAAGAUAAUUAUUGGGUAUUUCUCAUCUUAACUUAAUACUCGCUCCCUUGGUGAUCUGGUUUUCAAGAAUUCAUGAUCACACUCUUAGAUUUAUUAAAGAUUAAAAUUAAACACCCAAAGACCACAUUUGUUCUCCAUCUUGGUCACCCGGUGACCGAAAGAACAUAUGAUCCAAGUUGGGAUUGCCCUCCCACUAAUCAAAAGAAUUGCUUUCAAACAUCCAUUCAGGCAGCUGUUGGGCUUUUGCAGCAGCGGGAGCCGUAGAAGGAAUUAUUCAGGUUACAAAUGGUGAAUUAAACUUUGUCCGAGCAACAACUGGUUGAUUGUGAUACCGGCGGUGAAGACCUAGGUUGUGGCGGUGGCUACCUUGACGGUGCAUGCUUUUGAGUUAAUCAAUCAAAACCAUGAGAAUAGCUCCGCCACACCGGUGUUAGACGGUACAAGCAACACCCAGGCCCAUCACACAACCAAUAUAACUGGCCAUGAAGGCUUGUUAAUCUACCUGUUUCUGUUUACAUUGAUGUUGGAGGAGAAUAUUUCACGUCAGUCCUAUAAAACUGGUCGUUACAGGGGUAUGUGGACUAUACAUCGACCAAUGAUUUUCCACCGUUGGUCAAGGGAUAAGUGACGAUGAAGAUCUUACAUGGCAGGUAAACUGUGACGUGAUGUCCCGUGUCAAUGAAAUAAAGACAUGUUAUUGGCGCAGGACGCCACUAGGACAACAUGCCAGUGCCGUAUACGCCCUAUAUUAUCGUGUCUUGGAUUGUAUCCACAAAAGAAGCACCAAUUUAAGAAAUGCAAAAAUUGAAAACUACAUCCGUAAACCAAUAACCAGACCUUCUAAGGAACCACCAUCCGCAGUAACAUUAUUAAUAUUUUAACUACUUAGUACUACCACAAAAUCAUAACACAACAUUCAGCGUUAAACACAACUUGCAAUGUGAUGUACACAUGAUCAGUAAAAACAGAAUAAACUAGGACAAACUACAGCACACCUUAAAUAUGGAGCCAAACGGAAUUCAUAGGCCAGCUCACAGGCAGUAGGUUCGUCGAGUUUUAGUUGCUCUGUCGCAACUCUGGUCGCACAAAAUCUGCAUCAGCAGUCACUGAAAUGUCAACUGUAGGUCUCAGUUCAGCGCAUACUUUGAUGGCUCCAUGCACUGGAUCUGACAUGAAGUUGCUGAUGAGGUCUCGGUUGAUGGGUGCACCAUUGUCCACGGAAACUAGGGCCUGCUGAGUAAGGAUGUAAUCAAAUCGUGGAGCCCAUUUCCUUGAUCCCAACCGAGCUGUUGUUGAACAGUUAUCAACCAUGAAAGAAACUCCCCGUGCAUGCAUAAAAGGAUUCAAAGAAUCCACCGACUCAAUAACACUUUCAUUAAUGAUCUCUGAAUAUGAAUGUCCUUUCUUCCUCAAUACUUCGAUCUGAAAAUUCAUAAAAGCAAUUCAAAUCAAAUGCAGAAGAAAUUAUCCCCAGUUACUGACAAAAUCAUUUAUUUCUAUUACGACAAAGAUAAAAUAACAUCACCGCAUUUAUGUUCCAAGGAUCUGAAGGUUCAAUUGAUAGAAAGAAACCUAUAUUUGCAUUACGAAACAAUACGUGUGUUCAUUGUUUAGUUGAUGACCUAAAAUAUAUAUUUGAAGUAGAUGUUUCAUGAUUUUGACUAGAUACAUUGACAGAAAAAUAACCCUUUACAAAAUCCACAUUCUUAACUAUAGGUCUAAACCUGAUAUGCAUCUUAGUCUGAGAAAAGUAAAAACAUCAAAAUAUUUUCAUAUACCAAUCUUUUGUUGCCAAUAUUUUAAUAUUUUUUAGGCACGCACUUGCUAUUCGGACUAGUACACUCUGAGAUCAGAACAAAAGGAAAAAUUCCAUUCAUGUGUAAGCAACUCGGAACAAUUGCUUGUUGGAAGCUAAUUUCUUCUUUUGCAAUAUCACAUUCUCACCCAAUCUAAAGGGUUAGGCUCGUACCUGCGCCAUCAUUAAGGCAACAAAAACACCUGCAGUGAAAGGGUGUAACGGGCCUAGAUCACCAGCUGGCCUUGUUGAUCUGACACGCUCACCGACUUUCCACAUGCGGGUCUGAUCAAUUUUACCCAUUGGGAAUGCAGGCAGACCCUCCUUCUCCUGUAACAAAGGUAUGUUCAUUAUCAAUUGCAUGACAUUAAUAUUCGUUUACUUAAAAGUAUUCAAAGAACUAUGACUCUGAGAAUCAUGUACUUCUAAACAACAAUAAUCAAAAUUUGGGCCUUCAACAAUUGAAAACAGAUGGAGAACAUACAUAAAAGCGACGACCGGCCAAGACAACACUGCGGAUCUCGCUGCCACUGGCAACAUCUUCAUAGCAUUCAUACAGGAUGUCCAUGCAUGGAUAAAAUGAGGCGCUAUAUGCAGCCUCAAAUUCCUUUUUGCCAUCUUCAGACAAAGAGUUGUAAAUCUCUAACAUUCCCUGUUGGGAAAAAUAAUAAAAACAAUAACCACUUGUUCUUAAAUUGACAUACAAGCACAGACGUGCAAGGAACACACAGAUGUAAACUACAAAUAAUGAAAUUCAUGUGUGGACAGUACCUUAGUUGAGAUGGUCCUUGACACAAUUCCAGUUAUACAUUCAACAGUGUUUUUAUAAGCCAAAUCCUCACUCAUUCCAUUUUCAGUGUACCUUCUAAACAGGGACUCCACAAUUCCAUGAACAGCACCAAGUAAUAUGCCUACAAAGCAGAGAAGAAGAGGUGACAUAUCAACUUUACUGGAUUCAAAGCAUAAGCAAAGAAAAGAGAAAGAAAGUUACGAUGUAGCAAAUAAAACAUACCUCGUUCACCAAAGAUGUCACUUUUGUAUUCCUGCUCUAGUGUAGUGGCAAAUGUGAAAGGAGAACCAAGGGCAACUGACCAGCCCAGGGCCACAUCUGUGGCUCUACCAUCAACAUCCUGUACAAACACAGCACAUUUAGUAUCCAGGAUAUUGGGCCAGAAAAUAUGUAGUCAGAGAGAGAGAAAGAGAGAGAGCUGACCUGGUGGACUGCAAAACUGGAAUUAAUUCCGGCACCAUUUAUCUCUUUGCCUUGGACAUAAAGUCUCCUUACAGAUGGACCCAUCCCCUUGGGACAUACAGCAAUUACACUGAAGUUCUUGGGAAAGUCAAGUCCCACUGACUGCAAAUGCCCUAGAAGAAAACCAUGGGAAAGACCAAGUAUACUAUUUGGUUUCAUGUGUGAAAAUAUUUUCUCAUAAUUAUCGGCCUGCAACAUGAGACAAAGUUAAAUCCUUUCAGAAAGAUGCUUCUUAGGGUAGCCAGAAAACAGGCCCGUUCACCCACACACUCACGACUUCAUUCCAUUAGAGAUUACUUUCUGUAAUAUGGCCUGAUUCUCAACAAAGUGAAACUUCACCAAGCAAACGUUACUUAGGUUAGCAUGGCAGCAAAUAAUUUCCGACCAGCAAAACAAAAUCAUGCAUAAUUAUGAAGAUAUUCAUGAGAUGACAAUUACAUGCAGAUAGCCUAAUACCACUCUGGUUUAAUGCUAACAAAUGACUUGUUACGAACUCACAUGGUAGAGAACUUAAAAAACACUUGAUUAUUAACACCAUCAUUCAACAACUUUCAGCACAUAUAGUUCACAAUAUUAUAUCAAAGAAAAAACAAAACAAUAUAGUAAUCGGAUUAUCAGUACUUCAGUCUUUAUGUUUAUUUUCCAAAGUGACUUGUUAGUAAGUACGAAAAGUCAGUAUCCAGGGAUAAGAAGAUAAGAGAUGGUUGAAAAUGAUAAAUGGAUUAGCAGACCCAAAAUCAUUUUAGCAGAAAUAGAAGUGCCGCUGCAACUACAAGUUACAGCCAAUAAUAGCAGAAAAACAAUAACCAAAAUUGCAAUCGACAGACCUGUGCAGAAUCAGAGAUUAGUAGCAACACGAGAUUACUGCCUGAGAUUGUUUCCCAUAUAUCCCCCAAAGUCCCAUUCUCCUCGGUGAAACCAGCUGCACGAGCUUCAGCAAAAGAAUGAGAACCCUUCCUGAGUCCAAUCUGUAAAGUCACAACAAAUUGAAUUAGUUAACAGCAAGACAUUGAAAAAUAAGUCAGUAACCAUAUCUUUUUUUCAUAUGAAAUAUAUUUUUAGUGUAAACAGAAAAGCAUUUACCUUGACAACAAUGUCAGACUUUGCUUCAACUAGAGAAUCUCUUAGAUUCUGAGCUUGAGCAGGUCCCUGAGGAAAAGAUAGGUUAAAGACCCAAAUAACAUAUAGUGACUGAGACAGAAAAACAAUAUACAUUCACAUUCUACAACAGUAAAAAAAGCACAGAAAAGAAUUACGAUACGUAACCACCCCCUCUCAAUUCAUACUGGAUUACCAUAACAAAUCUAUUGGCUUAGAGAACAACCGUAUGGAUACAGAAACGGAGAGAAAACCUAAGAACCAAUGCAGACCCAAAUACUAAUCAUGGUAUUAAAUAAAUCAACCAUUUAACAAAUAGAUAAAAUAUAUGAGAGAAAAUUCAUUCACCUGAGAACCCCAACCGAUAACACCAAUCUGCUUAAUACCCUUGAAAGCAUCGGGCAGCAAAUGGAACAGAUCCCUUCCUCCUCUCACAAUAUACUGCAGUCAGCAUCAAACCCACCACACACAAUCAAUAAAAAAUUCCAAAUGGAAAUCUUUCUCAAUCAUUAUCAGCAACAUGCAUACAGUUACAACAAAUAAAUACAGUUUACAUGUAAUCGCACAAAUCGGCGGAAAAUCACUUAACAUUUUGGCCUCCUUUUCCAUUCCAACCAUUCGUUUGUUUGUUUGUUUGUUAAUGAUGAGUACAGAGAAUAUGCACAAAAGCUAUCAGGCAGUAUAAAAAGCUUCCCUUUCUUUUCCCCAACCCAUUUAUUCAAAUCCAAGCAAAACCUAUCAACUCAAUUUGUAAAUUAACUAAGCAAUAUCAUAAAUGUGUUAGUACAAAUAGACAGAUAGUGAGAGCGAGAGGGAGAGCGACCUCGUUGUGACCAGCGAGGUUGAUCUUCUCCUUGGUGAAAACAGAGGUAUCGAAAUCGAGAGGAGGGGGCUUAAUGGACGGCAUUGACACCAUGCCGUGGUGGGAUGAGGGCAAUAAUUUUGAUUAUUGAUUGCUUGAACUCCAACUGUCGAUCAAACUCCAAAUUCAAUUGAUUGAAUGGAAGGGGAGGAAAAACCUGGAGAAGAUUAGUAACCUAGAGUUAGAAAAACGUGGUGGGGACAAUAAUUGCUUUGCGGAUGAGUUUUGUGAGGAUUAGUAACCUAGAGUUAGAAAAAUGGGAUGCACAAUUAAAUUAAAUUGUCAUCAAGUGGGGCAUUGGGAUGCAAAACGGUAAACUUAAUUCAGUUGUCAAUCAAUUUUUUUGAAGGAAAAUAAUAAAAAUGGUUUGAAAACUUUGAGUUUUAACGAUAAAGACAAAAUAAAGGGUAAAGUGAAUAGUACCAAAAUUGACUUUUUAGUGUAAAAAUGUGGUUUUUUUUGUUAAAAUGAACAAUACCGAGAGCUUUUCAUUAAAGUUCUUUUUUUUUUAUUGUAGUUUAAUUAGGGUUGGUAAUUGGGAAUUAGAAUGCAAACAAUUAUUAUUUUUUUAAAUAAAUGAGUGGGGCCAUCCGCCCUUAGGCCUACACUAGCUCAAUCCAUGACGAAGUACACAUGAUAAGUGAAAACAUAAUAAAAUGAACCCUACACAAAGUAGUAAGGAUAGGAGAGAGGAUCCUCUCCGGAUCCUUCUUCUUCAAAGGCUGAGUCGGCAUUGUGGCUUUCCCAAAGUCGGUGUCGUGCUUCCUUGGAGUUUGCGUUAUGCCUAUCUGGUGUUGGUUAUCGGCAACAUCUACGUAAUAGUCAUCGACGAUCGUGGUUCUAUAAAACUGAGCGUGUAGAAGUUUCUCUAUAAACAAACAAAAAAAAUGAAGAAGAAAACGCAGAAUUGAAAAAGAAGGAUUGAUGAAGAAGAAGAAGAAGCAGAAGCAAAACUGCAGAAAAGAAAGAAGAUCGAAGAAGGAGAAUCCGAAGGGUUUGGUUAUGAAGAGGAUUCUCUCCCUAACGAUAGAAUUUGAUGGCUUUUUUCCUCGCUUUGACGGUUUCACUGCACAGUUCAUGAUUGCUUCCUUCCUUCACUCAUCUCAUGCGAACUCGAGGCGGGAUUGUGUGCCUAUACCUCUCGAGGAAGGCCUGAAAUAGCUCAUUGGAAGGGGUAAAAUAAGUACAAGAAAAGAUUUGAUUAAGGGCUGGUUUGGUAUUGCUAUGUUUUAAAAACAAGCUGUUUCUGCUGUGCUGUGAGAAUAAGCAGCUGUGAAAUAAAGCGACAGAGUGUUUGGUAAACUUUUUUGUAAAAGUACUUUUGGAAAAAAAAGCAGUAUGAUAGUGUUUGAUAAAUUUUUAUGCAAAACAGUUGUGACGAUGUGAAAUGUCCAAAACCAAGCUUAUUUAUCUAUUAUGUUGAUGCACAAAAUCAAUGAGGACUUUGGUACAACAGAAAGUGUUAAGUUUGUGACCUUCGCUAGAUUGCUCCGGUCACUAGUGUGGAUAAGUAUGUAAAUGGAUAGAGACACGGAAGCAAAUACAAGAUGUACGUGGUUCACCCAUAUUGGCUACGUCCACGGAGUAGAAGUUCUCAUUAAUUGUGAAGGGUUUACACAAGUACAUGGGUUCAAGCUCUCCUUUAGUGAGUACUAGUGAAUGAUUUAGUACAAAUGACAUUAGGAAUUAUUAUAGGAGAAUGAUCUCCUUUUAUAGAAGAGAGUUUCUAGUUUUGUUCUGGCCUUGACACGUGUCAUGCUAUGAUUGGCCUUUGAUGUUGACACGUGAUUGGCCUCUUGGUGUUGACACGUGCUGCGGUGAUUGGCCUUCUGGUUGGAGGGAAACUCUUAUGGGUCCUUGACGGUAUAACGUUGACCGGUGCUUGGUAGUUUCGGGAUUGGUCAAGUAUGGUACAAACAGUGCUCCCCUAAGUUCCCGAGUGAGGGAAGCUCCUCGGUUGGGGACUUGCAAGAUCCAAGCCACUGAGUAAUCACGAAACUUCUAAGUACUGAAGUAUGGUAUCGUUUUCACUUGCCUUAUCUGUCUCAUAAGUAGAUGUGGCAUCUUCUCUGUAAGUAUUUUUCCUCCGUCCAGGGAUGGUAUCUUUAACCGAUGGAGAUGCACAAGGUAAUGUAUCAAUUUCACUUGAAGCUUACUUGUAUUUUCGGGCUUGGUCGAGCGCGAUACAAACCCUAUAGUAGGAGUCCCCCAAGUCUCUGAGCGAGGAGAUCUGCCGAAAGAGGUGACAGACAAAGUAAGUAAUCAGAGUUCUAAGCAGUCAGUCUUAGAUCGAAAGUUUGAUCUCGUGUUCCGACUAAUUGUUCUCAUUCUCCUUGUUAUAUAGACAUCAUCAAGGACAAAGAAAAGGACAUGGAGAAAAGAUGAUAUGAGAUACUUUUGCUUUUGAAGAAGUAACUUUCCAUAGGCUUAUUCUUGAACUGGGCUAGAGGGUUUUCUAGUUUCCUCCAGAGUAUAAUGCCGACUCAAGAAUUUGAGGGUCAAAACAAGUCCAUCAAAUCAAUAAUGCAUUCGACCUUGAUGAUAUGAGAUACUUUUGCUGUUGAUAACGUAAUAGAUGAAUCGGCACGUGUUCUGUUGCGCUUGUCUCCACAUGCUUCCUUAUAUCCUUCUCACUUGCCCUAUAUGUUCCUUAGGCAGAUGUGGUAUCUUUUCUGGAAGCAUAAGAUGUUGAAGGUCGACAUAUAUAGGAAUUGUCCUAAUAGCGAGUAGUAACGCUAUUCAUUUACCCUUCUCGGUCAUAGCAAUGUAGUGGGAGCUGCAAGAUUCAUGUGUUUUAACUUUGUCAGAGCACUUUGAAAAAGUGGUCUGUGGUAUCUGGAAAGCUGAUGUUGAGUGUGAAGAUUGCAGACAAGCUUUAUCCAAGGAAAUCUGGCUCUCGAAGUUCGGAGAGCGGUGCCUCUUCGGUUUUUAAACAAGCAAUCCUGUCGGGGAUCUGGUUCUCGAGAUUCGGAGAACAGUGCCUCUUCGCUUUUUGAGAAAGCAAUCCUGUUGGGAGUCUGGCUUUCGAGAUUUGGAGAGCGGUGCCCCUUCAAUUUUUGGGAAAUCAAUCCUGUUGCGAGUCUAGCUUUUGAGAUUUGGAUAGCGGUGCCUCUUCGAUUUUUGAGAAAGCAAUCAUGUUGUGAGUCUGGCUCUUGAGAUUCGGAGAGCGGUGCCUCUUCGAUUUUUGAGCAAGUAAUCCUGUUGAGAGUCUGACUCUUGAGAUUCGAAUAGCGAUGCCUCUUUGAUUUGUGAGCAAGCAAUCCUGUUGGGAGUGUUUUAUUGAAUGUGAGUAAAGGUUGGGCAAUUUUGCCAGUCUGCCUUGCCACGGAGCCCGGAGGUUGACACACAUAGAGAUUUUCCAAUUAUCAAGCAGUGGUGUUGUUCCUUUACCCUUAUAGGUAAUAGUAGGGUAGCUGGACCUUCAAAAUUUAUGUGUCUAGACUUUGUCAGAGAUCUUUGGCAAAGUUAUCUGUGGUACCUGAGGAGCUGAUGUUGCGUGUGGAGAUCGUCGACAGAUUUUACUUAGGAAAAUCCAUUUUUUGAAGUCCGAAGAGUGGUGCCUCUUCGAUUUUUGAACCAACAGCCAUGUUGCCCUUUCUUUUAUAGGGGCACCAAUUGUGUUUAAGAAGUACGUUCAUAGAGUUAUUGCUUGUAUGAAUUUUCCCCUUAUUUUUAUAAUUCAGAGAUUUAUUGGACCUCAUUUCUCAUUUAUCAUUUCUGAAAAUGUUUGGCCCAUCCGACUGUUGUUUUGACUUGAACUUUGGUGAAGAGGCAGCCAUGCCUCCUCAAGACAACAUAUAGUGUCCAUCCUUCUUAUCCCCUACUGGUCCUCUUACCGUUGGGGACUCUGUGAUGAAGAAUGAUAUGACUGCUACGGUGGUGGCUAGGAAUAUUAUCACUCCCAAAGAUAACAGACUACUUUCCAAACGGUCUGAUGAGUUGGCUGUUAAGGAUUCUCUAGCUUUCAGUGUUCAGUGUGCAGGUUUUGUGUCUAAUAUGGCCCAACGCCCAUUUGUUCGAACCCGCCAAGUUGAAUCAUUGGCGGCUAAAGUGAUAAGUCUCAAAUAAGAGAUUAGAUGGCUCAACCAUGAGAAUAAACAGUUGCACAGGCUCGCACAUAACUAUGCUACAAACAUGAAAAUGAAGCUUGACUAGCUGCAGGAAUCUGAUGGUCAAAUUUUACUUGAUCAUCAGAGGUUUAUGGGUUUGUUCUAAAGGCAUUUAUUGCCUUCGUCUUCUGGGGCUGUACCACGUAAUGAAACUCCAAAUGAUCAACCUGCGGUGCCUCCUCCUUCUGGGGUUCUGCCCAGUACUGAAGCUUCGAAUGAUCACCCUCCGGUGCCUCCUCUUUCUGGGGCUCUGCCGACUGUUGAGACUUCUCCUGAGCAACCUUUGUGAAUGCUCUAUCUUGUUUGUUUAUUUUGACUCAUGUAUAUGUAUAUAUUUGUAACUUAUCGGAGGUAUCAAUAAAUAAGAUUUGCUUCAUUUCAACGUAUUGUGUUAAAUACAACAAGGUCUCCUUCACUAAAUUCUUUGAAUUUUUUCUUUUGUUGAAUCUUGUAUAUUGAAGCUUUGUGAGUGAAGCAUGUAGGUUGAGGUAAUGCUCCCUUAAUUUCCUGAGUGAGGAAAACUUCUCGGUUGGAGACUUGAAAAAUCUAAGUCACUGAGUAGUCGUGAAACUUCCAAGUACCGAGGUGUAGUAGCAUAUGGUAGGAGUCCCCCAAGUCUUCGGUCGAGGGAGUUGAUGAAGGAGGUGUCUUGCUUGUAGAAGUUGUCUGAAUUCCCUUUUCUUUAAAUAUUUGCCGAAUGGCUUGUGUGACAAAAGAUCUCAAGCGGUUGAGAGUCAAAACAUUUGUAAUGUGUAUGCCUUCUUAUAAUAGCAUUUCCUUUGGUACCUAGUCCUCCACUUUGAAAGAGUGAGGCUUGGCCACAUAAUCAUAAUAGUCGACGGUACGUUCACCCUUGGUUGUCUUGAUACGAACUUUUAUCCCUCUUGUUGUAAUGGGCUUGCUGAAAGUAAAAAUCCUUCCUCUUACCAAGAGACAAAUACGUUUGGUGACUUAGCGAGUAGCUAAAUGAGGCAGGAGAUGAUGCAAUAGGUUUCUGAAUGGCUAAGAUCUCUUCAAUUGGUAGAACUUGACUUCCACUUCCCACUUGUUUAUAGGGGUUAACCAUAUGGGGGUUCCCUUAGUAUGUCCUUGCUUUGACAGAGGCGUAGUUGUAAGCAUGUGCCAUCACCUCAGAGUAAGUCUUCAAAGUGUUGGCAUUGAUCAUGUACUUAAAGAAAAAAUCACGUAGGCUUGCCGUGAAGGCUUUGAGGGCGGUCUUGUCAUCUGCCUCAGCGCAGCAAGAAUACUCAUGGCUAAAGUGAUCGGCAUACUCUUGUAAUGACUCGUUCGGCUUCUGGCGAAUAAUGUAUAAGUCAUCUGCAGAAUGUAAGCAAUCGGUUUGGAAGAUGUGUUGAGAGACAAACAGUUUCCUUAGUUCUUCAAAUGAGUCUACUGUCUCAGGUGGAAGAUGAAAAUACCAGUUUAAAGCUCUGCCAGAGAAUGUGGAAGGGAAGGGAAGACAUCGUUCUUCGUCGGUGCGCAUCCGAUAUGCCUUGGUGGACUCAAAGAGGUUAAGGUGUUCAAUCGGAUCUUCCCUUCUAGUAUAGAGUUGUAAACCAAGCUUUUGUUUUAUUUUCUCUUGAAGGGGGUGUCAAGGAUCCUCCUUGUGAGAGGGCCAGACCUGGGUUGGUUUCAGUCAGGUAUCUCGGCCUGACGUGCGGCCUUCAACUUGUUUACUUCCUCAAAGAGCUGUAGAAUAAAGGGGUCUUGAGUGAAGUCAUGUACCACUGAAAUUUUCUUUCGUAAGUAUCCAUUGUCUCUCGAAAGUAGGAAAGUUUAAGCAGGAGCGUGUGAUUUUUCCUUGGAGUCGCCGUACUGACUUCUAGGGCAAGUCUGUCGGAAUACCUCCGAGUCCCCUGUACCUUUAUGUUCCUCUGGGACCUGUCGUUCUUUCUUUAGAUGGGCAACUGGCAUGGGUCGUAGGAGGGGACCGAGUCUUUCAGAAAUUCUUGGGUCAUUGAUCUUCGAGUUUAUGUGGAGGGGAUUCUCUCGACGUUAUUUUAGAAAGUCUCGGCAGUCACGAUAAACAACUUUCGAUCAUUCCAACCCUUCUAUAAAAAUGUGUCUUCCUCCACUUCUCCUGUUUUGGGUCGAAGCAGCUGGGUUGAGAGUAGUCUCAUGUUGAUCAAUGUUUUGAUGAUUAGCUCGCUCCUCAUCAGGGAUACCCAUGUCAAAUGAAGGUGACCCUCUGUGUUGGGGGGCACCCAGAUGAUGGUUGAUGUCCACAGGGGUAACAAGCUCGCGUGUUUGAGUACGCCUAAUUUCGUGGAACGUCUCGAAGAGCUUCUCAUAGUGUUCUUGGAGGAUCUCAUUCUUUAUUGCUAUCUUGUUGUUCUGAGCCUCCAACUCCUCGACUUUAGCUUGAAUAACGAGCUUAUUUCCUUCAUUCUUUCGUUGCUUUGCGCUAAGUGCAAUAGGGGUGUCAUUCUGUGUGUCGUGGCUUCCUUCGCUCUCCCCAUGUUGGAGAGGGAUGCCUGGUCAAAAAAGAGUGUACGAAUGGUGGAAACCAGCUUGACAAAGCCGAAGAUAGUGGGAAUAAGUGUCGUUCCCACAGACGGCGCCAAAUGUUGAUGCACAAAAUCAGUGAAGACUUUGGUACAACAGAAAGUGUUAAGUUUGUGACCUUCGCUAGAUUGCUCCGGUCACUAGUGUGGAUAAGUAUGUAAAUGGAUAGAGACAGGGAAGUAAACAUCAGAUGUACAUGGUUCACCCAGAUUGGCUACGUCCACGGAGUAGAGGAGUUCUCAUUAAUUGUUAAGGGUUUACACAAGUACAUAAGUUUAAGCUCUUCUUUAGUGAGUACUAGUGAAUGAUUUAGUACAAAUGACAUUAGGGAUUAUUAUGGGAGAAUGAUCUCCUUUUAUAGAAGAGAAUUUCUAGUUUUGUUUUGGACUUGACACGUGUCAUGCUGUGAUUGGCCUUUGAUGUUGACAUGUGUCGCCCUGUGAUUGGCCUCUUGGUGUUGACACGUGUUGCGUUGUGAUUGGCCUCCUGGUUGAAGGGAAACUCUUAUAGGUCAUUGACAGUAUAAUGUUGACCGGUGCUUGGUAGUUUCGGGAUUGGUCAAGUAUGGUACAAACAUAUUACAUUUUCUUUUACUUUUCUAGAACGCUCUCUCUAGAAUCAUCUCCAUUUUUUUCUCAUUCUCGUCCAACUGCCUCUCUGUCUCUCUCUGUCUUUACUUUUUCUCUCAUCACCAAAUUCCAUUCUUUUCGCCACUUUCUCCCUCAUCAUCAAAGAUCUUUGGUAGAGAUGAAGUUGGGUGGAGCAGAAAAGGGACGAUAAAGAUGAAGGGAAAAGCUUCCUCCGAGAAAUGGGAGAAGCUUCUGGAAUUUCGAAGCUGAUUUCGUACAGUGACGAUCUAGUAAAGGUGUUGAAGGACCAGAGGGACAUCAACAACUUGGCGCAAUGUCUCCAGCACCGCAAGGCCCUCCGUUCCUCCUGCGAUUCCGAUUUCAAUGAAGUCCAGAACUCACUUCAAGGUUUGUUUACUCACUUGGGUUCUGUUUGUUUCCCGAGAAAAUUUUUGACCCAGAAAAUUUUUAGUUAGUUGCUUAAACCUUUUUCCACUUUCAAGCAAGCUAAAUUAUGCCUUAGGUAAAUCUAGGAUUGUAUAGUUUAGAAACUUACUUUGUGCACACCCGUAGAGAGCUCUACCUCAAAAUGUAGGGUUCCAACCCAUUUUCCGGGAAAAUGUUUUCUUAAAGGGGGGACAGAGGGGUUAGGUUUCUCAGAAAUGUUUCUCAGAAAAAAGAUAUUUGGCUGGUGUUGUAUGUCGAUAUGGGCAUUGAUUGAUGAGUUCUUAUAUGAAGCAGACUAUAAGAUAAAUGGUAGGAUUGCCAGAAACUUUCAUUAAAGGGUCACUGUUCACCCGUGUUUUAGAGGUUUGAGUAGAAGCACAUCGGAUUUUUUGAGUAAUGGAUACAGCCAUACGUAACGGGUGUGAUCGUCCACAAUGGAGAGAUAAAAUCUAUAUCCAAAAUUUGACAAAACAGGUGCCAGUCCCUAAAUAUCCAAGUGCAAUAAUUCUAAUGGUUUUUGUGUAUGAGAAGUGCGAUUACAGAAAGGUAAUCUACAAGAUUUUCCCAUGGGACAAACAUGGCAAGUUUUAUUAGAAUCAAUCUUACCACAAAUAGGUAAAUGGUGUUUAUUCAAAAUCAUCCGAAAUACAUGGUAAGACGGGUGUCCAAGGCGAGUAUGCCAAAUGUCCUGAGUCGUCUUUUCUCCAUAGAAAACUAUUCUCUGUAACUUUUGGGGCUGCACGGAUGUGAUAGAGGCCAUUGAAGUUACUGCCAACUAGAAGAACCUUCCCCGUCUUGUUGUCCUUGACACAAAAACCAUAAGCAUUCAUGAUGAUAUAAUAGUCAUUAUCGUGAAAAAAUCUUCAAAUAGAUAAUAGAUUUUUCCGAAUGGCUGGAACACAUAAAACCUCUUUAAGAUGCAAUGAACUCAAUGGCUUUCUAUCCCCUAAUAUACAUAAUAGAAAGGUGAGACCCAUUACCAACAAUGAUAGAAUCAGUACCUGUAUAAGGAUGCACGUUAGUGAGUGCACGAGGACCAGAAAUCAUGUAGUGGGUUGCUCCGGAGUCAAAACACCAAUCAAUUGGGUUUGAGGUAGCACCUGAGUGAUCAUUCGUGUAGGCAUAGUUGCCUCGUUGAGGGAAAACACGAAAAUUAUGACCAUCUUUUCCAUAUUCUUGGCAAGGGACAUCAAAUUGAAAUGCAGAGGAAUUUGAUAAUGUUGGGAGCAGCGGUGGACGAUUAUCCAAUAGAAUUGGAUCGUGUCGUGGGUUUCCAUGAUACAGGAUGCCAUUUGCAUUAUUAUUUUGCUCCCAUUAAUUACCACCAUUGCGGUUGUUCCACUAACCACCAUCACGAUCACGAUUAAAGUUUCUUCCAUAUUCAUGGUGGUCAAAGUUACCACGCCCAUUGUUCUAGUUACAACCGCGUCCGCGUCCGUGUUUGUGUCCCUUGUAGUUGUUGGUUUGAGGCAUGUUUAGGAAGUUCUCGAGAGAACAAUCCCAUGAUGGGUGACCCACUAGGAAGUUCUCGUGUAAGUUCCCAGAAACAAAACCAUGAGGGCGUGAUCGGGGCCUAAAGCAGACAAUAUCAUGCUAUAACGGCCGGGAUGUGGUGAGAGCCUGGACCGAGAUGUGACAAUUUGGUAUCAGAGCCAAUCCCUGGCCGGAAGUGUGCCGACAAGGACGUCGGGCCCCUAAGGGGGUGGAUUGUAACAUUCCACAUUGCCUAGGGGAGUGGAUCUUGUAAGCCUUAUAUGUAUAUUCCUAACUCUACCUAGCACGAGACCUUUUGGGAGCUCACUGGCUUCGGGUUCCAUCGGAACUCCAAAGUUCAGUGAGUUCGCGCGAGAGCAAUCCCAGGUGGGUGACCCCUUGGGAAGUUCUCGUGUGAGUUCCCAUAAACAAAACCAUGAGGGCGUGGUCUGGGCCCAAAGCAGACAAUAUCGUGCUAAGGCGGAGUCGAGCCAGAGAUGGGGUAGGGGCCCGGGCUGGGAUGUGACAAUAUGUGGCAAGUGCAACUCCGUUUGAUAAUGAAAGUGCUUCCAUUCUUUUAUGGAGUUGUUCUUCUUGAAGGAGUAGGUCAAAAAAAUCAUCAAAACUGAGAGUUUGACGAAGAUGAAGGGAAGUGGUGAACUCUUUUAUACUCAUGACCCAGACUAUGCAAUAUAUAUUCAAUUAGUUCGUUGUCUGUCAUCGAGGUACUAGCGAAUGCAGGAGAGUUAAAAAGUGACCGAGCAUGUAUAAGAUAAUCAGGCAUCUAUUGAUCCAGAGUCUUUUUUAGGGUACGAAUUUGGUCUCUGAGGGUUCGUACAUGAGUCUUAGAGAAAGGAGAAAACCUCUUUUGGAAAAGAUUCCAGGCUUCGAAGGUAGUCGAACAUGGAAAAAGAAUAGUCUUUAUUGAGGGAGAUGUUGUGGCCUUGAUCCAACUGAGCAUUAGCUUGUCUUUCAAGUAGAUAGGAUUGAGUGAGCCAUCAGAUAAGUUCUUGGCAAGUUUAUCUUCAAGUUUAACAAUAACACCAAGAUCAUGAAGUUCGAGAACAUCCUCAGAUUGUGGCUUCCAAUUAAAAAAAUUUAUGCGAUCCAUUGGUGUGGUGAAGAUAUUAGAUAUAUUGAAGGAGGUGGGAAGAGCAGAAGUGAAGCACGCCAUGGCAAAUUGAGUCUGACUGUCAGAGGUUUGAGAUGCACCAGAUGCAGCGGAAAAGAGAGCCGAGUUAUCAGGGUUUGCCAUUGAUAGUUAGCAAACGAAAAGAAUAAGAUCAACUGAUUGGGUGUUAGCCCUUUUUGGGCUCUGAUACCAUCAAGAAAUAUGUACCAGUGAGGUUUUAGAAUGUUGCGGCAAGAAAGGUUUUAUGUUGGAAUUCUUGACUGAUCUAUUAGUCAUGGUAUUCAUAUAUAUAUAUAUAUAUAUAUAUAUAUAUAAUUACAAGAACGUUAGGCCCCUAAGGGGGUGGAUUGUAACAUUCCACAUUGCCUAGGGGAGUGGAUCUUGUAAGCCUUAUAUGUAUAUUCCCAACUCUACCUAGCACGAGACCUUUUGGGAGCUCACUGGCUUCGGGUUCCAUCGGAACUCCAAAGUUCAGUGAGUUCGCGCGAGAGCAAUCCCAGGUGGGUGACCCCUUAGGAAGUUCUCGUGUGAGUUCCCAUAAACAAAACCAUGAGGGCGUGGUCUGGGCCCAAAGCAGACAAUAUCGUGCUAAGGCGGAGUCGAGCCAGAGAUGGGGUAGGGAAUCAGCCAGAUUCUUGUGAGGGUGGGCUUUCUUAUGUUUGCCUAAUUUUAGGAGAUGAAUGAGAUGAUGGGAAUUCGGCCCAAGUAUGAAAAUUGUUCCUCUCAUUGAAAUCUGCAUGCCUGUAAAAUUUGGUAAUUUUUUAAAAUAGUUGAAUUUUCCAAUGAGUCAGGGCGGCGCGUGAGCCGAGACCCCAUCAGCCCUUCCUAGACUAAUUUGGAUACCGUGAUUCCAUAUGUGAUGUCCGAUUGACAAAAUCUCAUUGUAUGACUAUAGUUUUGAUAGAGACCACCACUUAGUCAUCAUACAAAUCGACGAUUCGAUUGUUGGAUCAUCACCAAACCUUAACACGUUAUAGUACGUAAUGUUUGAUGAUCAUAGGAACUAACGGAUACGGAAUCCGACGAACGGAUCUUCCCAAAUUGAAUUUCUAAGUUUGUAAAACCAAACGUUGAUAGCAACCUAACUCUAGCAAUUAGCGGAGAUCCGACAGUUGGAUAGUUUCAAAAUUUUAUAGUAUUAUGCUAGAAGAUAAAUGAGACCCUUGAGAAGUUACAGAUUGGAAAUCCAUGGGCAGAUGUUCCAGAUUGACUUGUACAAGGUUGUGGACCCCACUUUUGACAAGGACUUGACUUUUGGUCAUUAUGCUACAAAUUGAUCUUAACUAUUAAAGUUUGUAUUACUAGAUACUAUGUAGGGCUUAGUGGGCCUAUAUUGGUUAGUGAGUUAUCCCAGAUAAAAUAUACAUCGAUUUACGUGUAUGGAACGUCAUAUUGUGAUAUAUGUGUUUAUUAAUCUUCUUAAUAAUGUGGAUGAUAAGUAUGAUAAAUGAUAUGACCAUGUGUUUCUAGAAUCCUAUUCGAAGUAUUAUGUAGAAUUUAGAAGCUUGUGUGACAUAUUACUUGGUGGCCAUGAGAAGUUAAUGGUGUAGGUGACUACGUUGUAACUCAUAGGAGUUGAGGUAUGGGUAGGUUGAGUGUUGAAUUUACUGCACCAUGUAACAGUGGUACAUGCAUGGUUCUUCUUGGUAUAUCCACGAUGAAGGGCCAUACAUAUUUCAGGGGCAAUCAUGCUUGGUAUAUCCGUGAUGGGUGAUCAUCGCUUGCACAAUUAGACUAAGCUUAUGGUUCUGCUUGGUAUAUCCGCGAUGGGGGACUAUACGCAUUCUCGGAGUAAUCAUGCUUGGUAUAUCCGUGAUGGGUGAUCACUACCUAGAGUUAUAGGAUAUAGUCAUGCUUGGUAUAUCAGCGAUAGGGGACUGUUAGGGGUUAUCAUGCUUUGUAUAUCUACAAUGGGUGAUCACUACCUACGUUAUUAGACUAUGCAUAUGGUUCUGCUUGGUAUAUCCACGAUUGGGGACCAUACACAUUCUAUGAGUGAUCAUGCUUGGUAUAUCCACGAUGGGUGAUCACUACCUAGAGUUAGGAUGUCGCCAUGCUUGGUAUAUCUCUGAUGGGGGACCAUACGUAUUCAAGGGUGAUCAUGCUUGGUGUAUCCGUGAUGGGUAAUCACUACCUGCACGAUGAAAUUAUGCCUAUGGUUAUGCUUGGUAUAUCUGCGAUGGGGGACCAUACGCAUUCUAGAAGUGAUGAGGAUUAGUGGUAUUUGGUACAUUUCGAUAGGCAAUCAUAUUUUGGUUGGAUUCCUUUGAGUGGUCCAGAAUACCUAUUCUUGCUCAUUUCCAUAAAGUUAGUCAGACCCUAGAUUCAAGUGAGUAGGAAUUGCUCACAGUAGACGUUAUGUUUAUAAAGUAGAAUUAUCAUGUUAUUACUUGGAAUUCAGGUAGGGAAUUAUGUAGAAUUCCUUCAUUAAAUUUCGUAUAUUGAAAUGCGAUCUUACUGAUUGAUUAAUGUAGUUAAAUGUUAAUAUAAUACACCUCUGAUUCUUACGAUUGAUUGAUUGGAGUGAUUGUGGAAUAAUGUUGGAUAUAAUUGUUAUUAUGAUGAUUAGACUCGUUGACCAAUGUGUCUAGAGAAUAACAUUGUGCUUCGUUGACUGUUCUUUAAGAUGUUGCAUACUAUGAAUUGUGGUAUUAGGUGAAACAUAGUUAUUUAUAUGAUGGAUGAAUUGGAAAUCUUGAUUGUCGUGUAGGUUUGUUAUGUAGCCCUAAAUCUAGUAAUUUCAUGCUUGUCAAGUUGUACUAAUUGAUUGAGGGAUGCUAUGUCUUUCGAUUAGAACGUAUCGUGAUAACAUCCGGGUGUAGGGAAUGGUGAAUUACGAAUGGCUUGAUCCCUAUUUAGGAUACGUAGGCAGUCUAAUGAGGAGGUUAGAUGUUGUCAUAAAGUAUACAAAAAUUACUAAGCAAUUCGAAUCUUGAAUUAUGCUUUGUACAUAUCCCGGAGGUGGGGUCUGUUGGAUAUACGAAUACUUGGUGACGUCACGUGUCAAUCCUAAACGUGUGUUGGGAUCGAGGAAUUGAAGUUCAAAACUGUCGAACUUGAGGUGAGCUUAAUCUGAUAAUAAAUGGAGUUGGAAUGUCAUUUAGUGUUUCGUUAUCUGUUGAAUUGUUGCAAUGUUGUGUAGGCCGACAAUGGAAAUUUCAAGGACGAAAUUUUUUUAAAGGGGGAAGAAUGUGAAAUCCCAUUCCUGGAUUUCACUGUUAUAAUCUACGUGUUUAUAUUAUUGAGAUUUUAUACUAUUUUCGGUAAUUUAUACUAAUUUAUUUGAAUUUAGAUUUCAGUUAAACUAAUUAGAAAGUUUGAAGUUUUGAAAAUAAUCAUAAAAAAAUCCGUGAACUUUUCAGGGUCAGACUAAAUAUAAUUGGAUAGAUCUCAGUCCUAUGAGCACAUAGGCGAAAGCCGUUUGCGAAUUGGAAUUAUAACGGAAAAGUUACGGGCAUUCAAAAUCAUUUUUCGUUUAUUAAAAUUUAAUUUAUAUAUUAAUUGAAUUCCUACCAGGUGGGAAUUCAGCCCAAUCAGAAAUAAGACCAAGAUAACGAUUCAUAAGGGAGGACUCAACCCAAUUAGAAGUGAGGUAAUAAGAACCAAUCUGAAGAAAGGAAAGGGGAGGCUAACCAUUGGGGGAGGAGAGAACGGAGAAACGGGAGGGAAAUGAGGAAGGUAGAAAACCAGGGGAUUCGGGCGACCUGUUUUCCCCCAUUGCGACCCGGUUGCCCGACGAAAAUUCUAGUGGUCUUCCGCCAUUUUUAGGCGAAUUUCACCAAACUAUCACCUAAAAAAUCCCCACCAGCCUUCCCUUUCCAUUUUACACCCAAGAUCGUUGGGGUUUUCGCCCCAUAUCGCGAAGAAUAGAAUCGUGGAUUCUGGUGACCCCACGACUAUGAUCCGCCACUCCGGCAACCCUCACCAUCAAUGACCACCACCAAAAGACUCCCCUCAACCUUAGGAACAAAACCCAAUCAGUGGUGGAGGCGUUGGAGUGCGUAUGGUGGCCGAAUCGAAGCACACCCAUUUUUAGGGUUUCCGGUGGUCCAAGGCUGAUUUCAGGUGUUUUCCGGCCGAAAAUUGGACAUUGGCCCAAGUAUGACAAUUGUUCCUCUCAUUGAUAUCUGCAAGCUUGUAAAAUUUAGUAAUCUGAGUCGGGGCUGCCGGCCGCCGCGGGGCAACCCUCACCAUCAAUGACCACCACCAAAAGACUCCCCUCAACCUUAGGAACAAAACCCAAUCAGUGGUGGAGGCGUUGGAGCGCGUAUGGUGGCCGAAUCGAAGCACACCCAUUUUUAGGGUUUCCGGUGGUCCAAGGCUGAUUUCAGGUGUUUUCCGGCCGAAAAUUGGACAUUGGCCCAAGUAUGACAAUUGUUCCUCUCAUUGAUAUCUGCAUGCUUGUAAAAUUUGGUAAUUUUUUAAAAUAGUUGAAUUUUCCGCUGAGUCAGGGCUGCCGGCCUCCGCGGGGGCCAAGACCCCACCUGCCCUCCCUAGACUAAUUUGGAUACCCUGAUUCCAUAUGUGACGUCCGAUUGACGAAAUCUCAUUGUAUGACUAUAGUUUUGAUAGAGACCGCCACUUGGUCAUUAUACGAAUUGACGAUCCGACCGUUGGAUCAUCACCAAACCUUAACAUGUUAUAGUACGUAAUAUUUGAGGAUCAUAGGAACUGACAGAUACGGAAUCCAACAUGCGGAUCUUUCCAAAUUGAAUUUCUAAGUUUGUAAAACUAAAUGUUUAUAGCAACCUAAUAUCUUAUUUGCCUUUACACUUGUUCUCAAAUUGAUAUACAAGAACGGAUGUCCAUAGGAGCACAUAGAUGUAAUACAUUGCCCAAAGCACACGGAUGUGCCUUUUCACAUUUUUCACACUUUUACAUUCAUUAUUAUGAAUUUUUAUUUAUUCUAAACUCCUAGAAACACAUUGCCCAAAACACACUGUUCACAAGGGUUUCUAGGAUUUUAAAAAGGGGUGUGCUAUCCACACACAUCUUUUUACUUCUCACACACCCCUUGUUAAUUUAUGUCCGUUGAUCUUCUUCAAUUCAUCCGAUCCGACGGCCGAAAACUAAAAAGGUGUGGGAGAAGUAAAAAGGGGUGUGUGGAUAUCACACCCCUUUUAAAAAUUCAAACGACAAUGUACCCAUCGUCAAAGUGUAGAGGAAGCGGGGUCACGAGCAUUUGCAUAUUUUUUCACAUUUUUCAUACUUGUGAUUAAUUAUUAUGAUUUUUUUAUUGUGCUUUGGUAUUUUUAAUAUACUUUGGCAUUUUUAACGUGCAUUGGAAUUUUUUAAUCUUACUUAUGUGAGAUUAAAUACUACGCCUCUUCUAGUAAGGUAUUUUGGUAGUUUAAAAUUAUCAAACUAACAUUUUCCUAUCGGAUUGAAAUGGGUUACCCAUGGAUAAACCUGUUAAGAACCCAUCAAUGAUCGGUACCCAAUUAGUUAACGUGUUAACCCAAACUCAUUAUUGUCAUGUCGUUUCGAAUCAGGUUAUCUAAUUGGGACUCUCUCAAAAGUAAGACUUCAGUUACUCUCUCAAAAAGUUUUACUUCAUUUUUUGGUUAUUAUUUGAAGAUUUUAAGUAUUUACCAAAUAAGAUUUCGGUUUUCAUAUUUCAAAUAAAUAAAAACUAAACUAAAGACGAAAUAAUGAUUAUCAAACCAUCCUUAACUAAAAUAAAAAUCCAAGAUGGCUGAGGAUCCACGAGUACAUUUCAGAACACAAUGUGAACAAGUAUAUUACGCACACAAGGACAAAAGGCAAUCGGCUUUUGUAUUCUUCAACAAUCUUGCAAAAAUUGGCUAUCGGCCUUAACAGACAAACUUGCAUAUAAGAAAUUUUCAUUGUGACAUAUAGACAAACAGAUGGAGUGCACGAGAUAGAAACGAAACCUGAAUCACCAUUUCCUGAUCGGAAAAGCCCAUCGAAGAUCAACAACCAAUGAUCAGAUCACAGCGGAACAAACAACCCAAGAAUCAAAACCGUCGGCAAAUGAUACCAAGAUAACCAUUCUAAAAUUAUGCAGAAAACUCAAGACUUUUGAAGAACACUUGAAGAACAAAUGAAAGAAUCUUUAGAGAGAAACAAAUGAGAAAGAUAUGUGUUAGUGUUUGAUAUGCUGAUUAGCAAAAGAGAAGGAGAGAAGAACAAUUCACAGAGAUGAUGGGAAAAGGAAUGGUUGCUCUUCCUCUCUCUGCAAAAUUCACAGAGGGAUAUUCUAUUUCAUUAAUGUUCCUCUCUCACUCGCACACAACGUGCACAAUGAAAUAUUACAGCUAACAAGAGCUGAGCUGGAUCAACACAUCAGAAAGAAAUGAUCUCAUCCAUUCAUUUACCUAACAACUAGGAUCAUCACACAUGGCACUCAUGGCCUUACAUCUUUUGACUUUACACUUGGUAGAUAUGCUCAAGUGAAUACACAAAUAAACUCAUCUUAUUUCACUAAUACUAAUCAUCUAUAGACUUAUAAUUCAACACUCCCCUUUAAGUCUUGAGCUGAUUUUACUCCAAGCAUAUUUCUGAGAUAGUUGAACCGAUCCUUAGCCAAAGGUUUUGUGAAAAUAUUUGCUAGCUGCACUUCAGUGGGACAGUACACCAAGUUAAUGAUUCCUUCCUGCAGUGCAUCUUUAAUGAAGUGAUACCUUCUAUCUAUGUGUUUAGUCUUCUGGUGAAACACAGAAUUCUUAGUGAUUGCAAUUGCAGAGGUGUUGUCACACUGCAAUGGAGUUGCUUCAGUUUGAAGUUCUCCAAAAUCUUCCAAUACAAAUCUGAGCUAGAUUGCUUGUGCAGUGGCAUUUGAUGCACUUAUGUACUCUGCUUCUGCAGUGGAUAAUGCCACGCAGCUUUGUUUAACUAAAGCCCAAGAAAAAACUCCACUUCCAAAAAAAAAUGCAUAACCGGAUGUACUUUUGCUAUCAUCUGAUGAUCCACCCCAGUCACUGUCGCAAUAGCCAAUCAACAUUGUCUUCUUGCCUUUUGUAUACUCCAAAUCAUAGUCAAGAGUCCCUUUAAUGUAUCUGAGCACACGUUUGGCAGUUCCAAAAUGCUUGCUAGUAGGACAAUGCAUAAAUCUAGCAAGUAGACUAGAUGCAUACAUUAUGUCCGGCCUAGUAGCUAUAAGAUAUAGAAGACUCCUUACAAUACUUCUGUAUAAUUCUUCACUUACUGCUCCACUUCCAUCAUCUUUGGUUAAUUUCUCAGUUGCCACAAGUGGUGUGAUCACAGAUUUGCACUCAUUUAGACCGAACUUGUUUAGUAAAGAACUUGCAUAUUUCUUUUGGUGAAUGAAAAUGCUAAAGUUGGUCUGAAUUAUCCCCAUUCCAAGAAAAUGAUAGAGAAGUCCCAAAUCUGUCAUUUCAUAUUUUCUUUUCAUGUCUUCUUUGAAUUCUUCAAGCAUCUGUCUAUUACUACCAGUAUAGACUAUGUCAUCCACGUAGAUAGAAACAAUCAGAAUGUCUUGCCCCUUUGCUUUGGUGUACAGUGUUGGUUCACUCAAACUUUUCUCAAAACCACACUGAAAGAAGUAUGUAUCAAUUUCUCCAUACCAGGCCCUUGGAGCCUGUUUUAACCCAUACAGAGCUUUAUGCAGUUUGUAGACUUUAUCUUCCUUUCCCUUGACUACAUAUCCUUCGGGCUGAUCUACAUAAACUUCUUCUUCCAAUACACCAUUUAAAAAUGCUGAUUUUACAUCAAGCUGAUACAAUUUCCAGCUCUUAUGUGCUGCCAAAGCUACAAGUGUCCUGAUAGUAUCCAAUCUAGCCACUGGAUCAUAAGUUUCAUUGUAGUCUAGCCCUGGCUUUUGAGAAUAACCCUUUGCAACUAGCCUAGCUUUGUUUUUUAAAACUGAACCAUCAAGAUUUAACUUGGUUUUGUAGACCCAUUUAACUCCAAUAACCGGCUUUUCUGUUGGUCUAUCCACAAGCUUCCAGGUGUCAUUCUUCUCAAUCAUGGCUAAUUCAUCUUCCAUUGCCUUUAACCAUGAUUCAUCUUGAGCUGCAUCUGCAUAUCUUUCUGGUUCCAGAAUGCAUGAGUUGCAUUGGGCAAUAACAUUAUUCAAAUUUCUCCAUUUCAGAGGUGAGUGAUCAUAAGUCUCUGAAAUCUUUGCAGAUUCAGGGGUACAGAUUUCUUAUUCUUCUGUAUAAAAGGGAAAACUAGAACUGAUGGAGCUUUCUUCAGUUUCACUAAACUCAUAUGAAUUCACACCAACUACAUUUUCAGGUUGAUCCUGAAUGUAGGUUGCAGCAACUGAAUUUUGUGAAUUUUCUUUCCAAUUCCAAGUCAUAGAUUCAUCAAAAACUACAUCUCUUGACAAGAUUAGGUUCUUGGUGCGUGGAUCAAAUAUUCUGUAUCCUUUCUCACAUGUAGCAUAUCCCACAAAUACACCUUUGACACUUUUAGCAUCUAGCUUCUGUCUUGUCUCAGUAGGCACAUGUACAUAGCAUAGGGAACCAAAAAUCUUGAGAUGUGUUAUACCUGGUUUUCUACCACUAUAAGCUUCAAAGGGAGUUGUAUUUCCAAGUGCCUUUGUAGGACACAUAUUUAGAAUAUACACAGCUGUGUGUACAGCUUCAGCCCAAAGAAAGUAUGGCAUAUCUCUAUCAUGAAGCAUAGAUUUUGCCAUUUCAACCACAGUUCGGUUUUUUCUUUCCACUACUCCAUUUUGCUGAAGAGUAUAAGCCAUUGUAAGUUGUCUUUGAAUGCCUUCAGUAUCACAGAACUUAGUGAACUCAGAUGAUAAGAAUUCUCCACCUUUGUCACUCCUUAGGCAUUUAAGUUUGAAAUCACUCUGCAACUCCACCAUUGACUUAAAUUUUUUGAAAUAAUUGAAUGCAUCAUAUUUGUAUCUGAGGAAAUACACCCAAAUCAUCCUUGUAUAGUCAUCAAUGAAUAACAUGAAAUACUUGUUUUCAGCCAAGGAUGCAUUCUGCAUAGGACCACACAGAUCAACAUGAAUAAGUUCCAGAUGACAGUUUGCUCUCCAGGCUUGUUUUUUUGGAAACCAGUCUCUAUGUUGUUUUCCAAAUUGACAUCCUUGACAUACAUCUUUGAUUGCUUCUAGAUAUGGAAGACCAUGCACCAUAUUCUUCUCACUGAGUUGCGGAAGUCCCCUGAAGUUCAAGUGACCUAGUCUUCUGUGCCAAAUCUGAGUAGAGUGCUCUAUGCAAGCCUUCAGAACCAACUGAUUGUUUUGCAACAUAGAAAGAAGGUAGCAUCUAUUUUUCUUCUUCUUAACCUUGAUGACAAGAUUGUCAAGUAAAGGUCCAUCAAAUAUACUACACAAGCCUCCUUCAAACACUAGAUAAUACCCAUGCUCAUCCAUUUGUCCAACAUUCAGUAAGUUCUUUUUUAACCCUGGCAGAUACAUGACUUCUCUGAUAUUUUUUACCUCUAUUAGUGUCUAUCUGCAGUGAAACCAUUCCAGCAACAUUUAUUUUUAUGUCAACAAGAAGAUCAGCAUUCCCUGUCAUGUGGUUACUACAACCACUGUCAACAUACCAAUUUUCAUUGACAUUUGUCUCUGAGAUUGCACUAUUAGCAUAGAACAAAUUCCCUGUCACUUCCACCUGAUUUGCAGAGUUUGCCUUUUGCACAUUCUUUCCUACAAUGCAUUCUUUCCCCAUAAUGUCCAAACUUAUCGCAUGUAUAACAUUUGGGCUUCCCCUUAUAUCUACACUUGCCAAAAUGAAACAUAGAGCACACUCUACACUGUGGUUUGAUACUCUCUUGACCCAAUGACUGUGAUUGAUAUGAAUUUGAUGCGGGACUAUUGAAGGAUUUCUGUUGGAAUCAAGGUUUUGAAUCCCAUUUCUUUCCCUUAGAAUUCCAAUUCUUCUGGAAUUUUGAUGAACCAUAUUGAACUCCACUUCUAUUUUGCCCUUUGGGACUCACUGAGAAUGAUGCAAAUGCCUUCUCAGUGGUAUCAACAUUAUGCAAAUCGAACCGUUGUUCUUGACUCUUCAAGAUUGCAACAACUUCCUGCAAUUCUACAGUCUCUAGACACUUUGUAUUUUCUAUAACCAAACAGAUCGAAUCAUAAGGUUUACUUAGACUUAUCAGAACCUUCUGCACAAGUCUCUCAUUAGAAAGAGAUUCACCAAAUGUUCUCAUCUGAUUAAUUAAGUCAUUCAGCCUUGUGAGAUAUCUAGAUAAGGAUUCAUCAUCUCGCAUUCUAGCAUACUCAAAUUCUCUUCUAAGAUUUUGAAGUUUUACAGAUCUAACCUGAUCACCACCAUGGUAUUCACCGUACAGUAGAUCCCAUGCCAUCUUGGCUGAGUCGGCAUUGGCAAUCCGAGGAAAAUCUGAUCAGAAACAUCAUUUUGUAUAAUACCUAGAGCCUUUGCAUCCCUCAUGAGCACAGCAACCAUUUCAUCACUGUCAUUUUCCGACGACCCUUCAGCUUCCUUCUUCUUCUUCUUUGAAUCGGGUGUUGGCAAUCCCUUUUCUACCAGAUUUCAUAUCCCAAUGGAUUUGAAGAUUGUUACCAUUUUAAUUCUCCAGAACUCGUAGUUCUCACCGGAGAAGAUUGGAGUUCUCACCUCCGAGCCUCCAGAUCCAGACAUCUUGCAAGCCUUUCGUGAGCUUCGACUGAGCUCAGUGACCUCACAGAUUUACGCCCAGAUUUUUAACGGCGCAACCUGGCUCUGAGGCCAUGUUAGUGUUUGAUAUGCUGAUUAGCAAAAGAGAAUGAGAGAAGAACAAUUCACAGAGACGAUGGGAAAAGGAAUGGUUGUUCUUCCUCUCUCUACAAAAUUUCACAGAGGGAUAUUCUAUUUCAUUAAUGUUCCUCUCUCACUCUCACACAACGUGCACAGUGAGAUAUUAUAGCUAACAAGAGCUGAGCUGGAUCAACACAUCAGAAAGAAAUGAUCUCAGCCAUUCAUUUACCUAACAACUAGGAUCAUCACACAUGGCACUCAUGGCCUUACAUCUUUUGACUUUACACUUGGUAGAUAUGCUCAAGUGAAUACACAAAUAAACUCAUCUUAUUUCACUAAUACUAAUCAGCUAUAGAAUUAUAAUUCAACAAUAUGAUCUUUUGUAUUGAUGAAUGCUGAAUGAAUUACAUUUGCAUAGCCUAGUAUGCUACAAAGCUAACUAACAUAACCAAUUUCCAACAGACUCUCUAACAGCUUAUGCUGACAUGACACUCCAAAUACUAACAGCCUAACAUCCUAUGCUAACAUGGCACACACUACUAACAGCUAUAUUCAACACUAACAAUUGCUUGUGUUUGCAAUGUUAUAUUCUCACCGGAAUAUAUGUAAAAUCGAUGACCGGCCAAGACAACACUGCGGAUCUCCCUACCACUUGCAACAUCUUCAUAGCAAUCAUAAAAUAUGUCCAUGCAUGGAUAAAGGGGCUAUAUGCAGCCUCAAAUUCCUUUUUUCCAUCUUCAAAGAGAGUUAUAAAUCUCUAACAUGCCCCGUCGGGAAAAAAAAAAUUCCACUAUGUGGCGGAGCCAAUAUGGGGUCAUUGGUUGCUCAUAACCCCAAUAGCUUUAAAACCAUAAUGCAUACUUAUUUGUAUAUUUGCAUAUGACCCCUAAACAUAAUUGCAGCAAACUAAAAGAAUAAGUCAAAAACACUGAAUUACAAAUUGAUGCUUUUUUGUGCAACCCUAGUACAGUUAUUUGUAGAUUUUCUUUUUUCUUUCUUUUGUCUUUCUUCUCCUAUUUCUUGUAUGCGACCUUAUGGUAUACAACAAGUAUUUGAUAAAAAGCCUCACUCGAUAUUCCUUGGCAAAAAGCGAUAAACUACGACAUAUUUUGGCAGAUACCCACCAGAAGCUCAACGAAAUGAUCCAAUGAAGUCUUUUUGGCAACAAUUAUGACUCAAUUAUUAUAAAAUUCUGGCUUUGCCUUUACACUUGUUCUCAAAUUGAUAUACAAGCACGGACGUGCAUAGGAACACAUAGAUGUAAUACACUGCCCAAAACACACGGAUGUGCCUUUUCACAUUUUUCACACUUUUACAUUCAUUAUUAUGAUUUUUUAUUUAUUCUAAACUCCUAGAAAUACAUUGCCCAAAACACACUGUUCACAAGGGUUUCUAGGAUUUUAAAAAUCCAAACGACAAUGUACCCAUCGUAAAAGUGUAGAGGAAGCGGGGUCACGAGCAUUUGCAUAUUUCUUCACAUUUUUCAUACUUGUGAUUAAUUAUUAUGAAUUUUUUUAUUGUGCUUUGGUAUUUUUAAUACACUUUGGCAUUUUUAACGUGCAUUGGAAUUUUUAAUCUUACUUAUGUGAGAUUAAAUACUAUGCCUCUUCUAGUAAGGUAUUUUGGUAGUUUAAAAUGAUCAAACUAACCCUUUCCUAUCGGAUUGAAAUGGGUUACCUAUGGAUAAACCUGUUAAGAACCCAUCAGUGACCGAUACCCAAUUAGUUAACGUGCUAACCCAAACUCAUUAUUGUCAUGUCGUUUCAAAUUGGGUUAUCUAAUUGUGUAAGAAAUUGUCAAGUCUAUUAGGGACACUCUCAGAAGUGAGACUCCAGUUACUCUCUCAAAAAAAUUUACUUCAUUUUCUGGUUUUCAGUUGAAGAUUUUAAGUAUUUACCAAAUAAGAUUUCGGUUUUCAUAUUUCAAAUAAAUAAAAACUAAACUAUAGACAAAAUAAUGAUUAUCAAACCAUCCUUAACUAAAAUAAAAAUCCAAGAUGGCUGAGGAUCCACGAGUACAUUUCAGAACACAAUGUGAACAACUAUAUUACGCACACAAGGACAAAAGGUAAGCAUCGGGUCCCAAAUUUAAUGAAAGGUCAAUUUACUAAUAAUAAUCUUACAGGUCUAUAUCAACAUAUUUUCUAAGGCACGUACCACGCUGAUCAUUUUUUGGGGCACUGAAAUUGCUAUAAACGCCAUUCUCUCUACCACCUUGAUUAGUAUAUAAAUCGUAGAGCAAAUCUACCAUUUCAGUAUAUCUGCUCAUCAUCAUAUCCUUUACCAAAAUCCAGCUUGCUUCUACUACACUAGCUAGCUACCCAUGGAGAACCUAAACCUUCAGCUAUGGAAGUAUAUGUGCUUGGGUUUGAUCCUCAUGUUGCGAGCUUGGUCUUCUCAAGCCACUUCUCGCAGUCUGCAAGAUGCAUCAAUGUAUGGGAGAUACGAGCAAUGGUUGGCUCGUUAUGGCCGUGUAUAUAAUGACGUCGAUGAGAAGGAAACUCGUUUCAAGAUAUUCAAGGAAAAUGUGGCGUUUAUAGAAUCUUCUAAUAAGGAUGCAAACAAACCUUACAAAUUAAGCGUCAAUCAAUUUGCAGACCUUACAAAUGAAGAGUUCAAAGCCUCAAGAAAUGGAUUCAAGGGCCAUGAAUGUUCCACGAAGACGACUUCUUUCAAAUAUGAAAAUGUGACUGCCGCUUUGCCAGCAACAAUGGACUGGAGAAAGAAAGGAGCUGUAACCCCCGUUAAGGACCAAGGCCAAUGUGGUAAGUACAUAAAAGUCUAGCUUCCUGCCAUUAAUUUAGAGAGACACUAUAUAUAUUCAUCUUUAAUAUACUCCUAAUCUAACAACUUUUGAUUCAAAUCGAAAUACAGGAUGCUGUUGGGCUUUUUCAGCAGUUGCCGCCACCGAAGGUGUUACACAGCUUACAACUGGUAAAUUGAUCUCUUUGUCUGAGCAAGAGCUCGUUGAUUGUGACACCGCUGGUGAAGACCAAGGUUGUGAGGGUGGCUUAAUGGACGAUGCGUUUCAGUUCAUGCAACAAAAUCACGGUAUUAGCACAGAAACUAAUUACCCCUACAACGGUGUUGAUGGUACAUGUAACACCAAGAAGGAAGCCAUCAUUGCAGCCAAGAUAACUGGCUUUGAGGAUGUGCCGGCAAAUAGUGAAAAGGCCCUUCUAACCGCUGUUGCUCAUCAACCUGUUUCCGUUGCCAUCGAUGCUAGCGGUUCCGAUUUCCAAUUCUAUUCAAGUGGUGUCUUCACUGGAACUUGUGGAACGAGUCUUGACCAUGGUGUUACCGCUGUUGGAUAUGGCGUGAGCGAGGAUGGGACUAAGUAUUGGCUAGUGAAGAACUCAUGGGGUGCAGAAUGGGGCGAAGCUGGGUACAUAAGAAUGCAAAGAGAUGUUGCUGCAGCUGAAGGACUUUGUGGGAUUGCUAUGUCUGCCUCUUACCCCACAGCUUAGUUAAUUAAAUCAAUGCCUACUAGCUAUAUGCCUUGUAGGUAGUCUGAUAUGUAUCAACCUGUAUGUGUAAAAUAUUUAUAAGAUAAUCAAGAAAAUUGCUGGGCAUUUCUCAUCUAAAUUUAUUAGACUCGCUUUCUUGGUCAUCAGGUGUCCAAGAAUUCAUGAUCACACACUAUUAGAUUUGAUAUGAAAGAUUAAAAACCAAAAUCACACAUUUAUUCUCCAUCUUAGUCACCCAAUGACCAAAAGAACCUAUGGUCCAAGUUCGCAAUGGCCUCCCACUAAUCAAAAGAUUUGCAAUCAAACAUCUAUAUAUUCAGGCGGCUAUUGGGCUUUUGCAGCAGCGAGAGCCGUUGAAGGAAUUACUGGGCUUACAUAUGGUGAAUUAAACUUUGUCCGAGCAACAAGUGGUUGAUUGUGAUACCCGCGGUGAAGACCUAGGUUGUGGUGGUGGCUACCUUGACGGCACCUUUGAGUUCAUCAAUCAAAACCGUGUGAUUAGCUCCGCAAGGACCGCAACGCCGGUAUUAAACGGUACAUGGAGCACCGAAGGCCCUCAUACAACCAAUAUAACUGGCUAUGAAGACGUGCCGAUAAGCAAUAAGAAGGCCUUGUAAGACUCAUGUUGAGUUGUCAAUUAUUAUGAAUCAAAUUAUUUAAAAGGCAAAUAACUUGAUCUUCAAGAUAUUUUACUUUUAACAUAAUUCAAUAUUGGUUAAGAAUCAUGGAACCAAGAUAUAUUAGUUGACUAAUUGAAACCCUAAUUAAGUAAGACAUAUUGUACAUGCCUUGGUGGGACACCAUUAAGAUUAAAUGGUGAUUUGGUGUAUUCCUCCAAUUACUAUAACCGGCGAGAUUGGAGGAACCCUAAUCACUAUAAUAAGGGUGUCCCUGCUUUCACAACACACAUGUUCGAUUCCGUGCAAGCCCUAUUAUUGCUGAAACACUUUUGCUUGUUGAAAGUAAAAGACUCUUUCCGCAAGCGUUAUGUCUUCUAUAUGUCAAUGAUAAGUAAAUUGUGAUUUUUGUUUAUUAAAUCCGUAAUCCUAAUAUCUUGUUGUUUUUCUUAUAAUUUCAUAACUUUCUUAUCCUUCUCAAGGCUUGCUAAUCUACCUAUUUUUGUUUUCAUUGAUGUCGGAGAAGAAAAUUUCAUGUCAGUCCUAUAACAGUGGUCAUUAAAGGGGUAUGUGGACUAUCCAUCGACCAAUUUGUUUCUGCUAUUAGUCAAGGGAUAGGUGUUGAUGGAGAACAUACAUGGAUAAAGUAUACCGCAAGUGGUGUUUUCUCAAUGAAAUAAGAACAUGUGCAACUCUGGCGCAAGUGGUGUUUCCACUUUUAUCUCUGACGCAACUCAUGGUCGGACAAAGUAUGCAUUAGCAGUCACUAAAAUGUCAACUGUAAGUCUGAGUUCAGCGCAUACUUUGGGAUUAAGAUUUUCUCCCCUUUUCUUUCCAUCUUCUUCUCUCACAUUCUUUAUUUUGUCUUUCUCUUUCUAUAAAAAAAUAAUAUAAGAUGUUGACGUACCUUAACUGUGACCAUUCAAAUAGGAAGGGAAGAAAAAAAGAGGGGCGAGAAUCCUGCUCCUCGGUUGAUGGGUGCUUCAUUGUCCACAGGAACUAAGGCCUGCUAAGUAAGGCUGUAAUCAAAUCGUGGAGCCCAUUUCCUUGAUCCCAACCGAGUUGUUGUUGAACAGUUAUCAACCAUGAAAGAAACUCCCCGUGCAUGCAUAAAAGGAUUCAAAGAAUCCAGAGACUCAAUAACACUUUCAUUAAUAAGAACAUGAAUGUCCUUUUUUAGGUAAUGCUAGGAGACCAAAAUUUUAAACCAAAUGAUGUGUCACCAAUAGGAAAUAAGCACGUUAAUCAACGUCUAAGUAAUAAUCCAAUCAUUAUCAAUCACAUCAUUUGGUUUGUAAAUUUGGUUUAAAGAAUUUGGUCCUCCUAACAUUAUCCCCUUUCUAAACAUGUGACCUGAUAACGAGCCAAUUAGUUAACGCCUUGACAAUCCGUUAUUUUCGUAUCGUUUCGGAUCGGGUUAACAGGUCGUGUAAGAAAUUACCCGGUCUAUCAGAGACUCUCUCAGAAGUGAAACUCUUCAUGGACUCUCUCGAAACUUUUUAUUUCAAUUUUUCGUUUUUAGUUGAAAAUUGUAUGUUACCAUAUAGUAUUAUUUCAAAUGAAUAAAAACAGAAGUAAAGACAAAAUAAUGAUUAUCAAACCAUCCUUAAAUAAAGUAAAUCCAAGAUGGUUGAGGAUCCACGAUUACAUUUCAGAACACAAUGUGAACAAAUAUAUUACGCACACAAGGACAAAAGGUAAGCAUCAGGUCCCAAAUUAAAUGGAAGGUCAAUUUACUAAAAAUAAUCUUACAGGUCUAUAUCAACAUAUUUUCUAAGGUAUGUACCACGCUGAUCAUUUUUUGGGGCACUGAAAUUGCUAUAAACGCCAUUCUCUCUACCACCUUGAGUAGUAUAUAAAUCGCAGAGCAAGUCUACCAUUUCAGUAUAUCUGCUCAUCAUCAUAUCCUUUACCAAAAUCCAGCUUGCUUCUACCACACUAGCUAGCCACCCAUGGAGAUCCUAAACCUGCAGCUAUGGAAGUAUAUGUGCUUGGGCUUGAUCCUCAUGUUGGGAGCUUGGUCUUCUGAAGCCACUUCUCGCAGUCUGAAAGAUGCAUCAAUGUACGGGAGAUACGAGCAAUGGUUGGCUCUUUAUGGUCGAGUAUAUAACGACAUCAAUGAGAAGGAAACUCGUUUCAAGAUGUUUGUACCAUACUUGACCAAUCCCUAAACUACUGAGCACUGGUCAACGUUAUACCGUCAAGGACCCAGAAGAGUUUCCCUCCAACCAAAAGGCCAAUCACAAUGCGACAAGUGUCGACAUCAGAAGCCAAUCACAACACGACAUGUGUCAAUGUCAGAAUGAAACUAGAAACUCUCUUCUAUAAAUAGAGAUCAUUCUCUCACAAUAUUUCCUAAUGUCAUUUGUACUAAAUCAUUCACUAGUACUCACUAAAGGAGAGCUUGAACUUAUGUACUUGUGUAAACCCUUCACAAUUAAUGAGAACUCCUCUACUCCGUGGACGUAGCCAAUCUGGGUGAACCACGUACAUCUUGUGUUUGCUUCUCUGUCCCUAUCCAUUUACAUACUUAUCCACACUAGUGAUCAGAGCAAUCUAGCGAAGGUCACAAACUUAACACUUUCUGUUGUACCAAAGUCCUCACUAAUUUUGUGCAUCAACAAUUGGCGCCAUCUGUGGGAACGACACUUAUUCUCAUUCUCUUCAGCUUUGUCAAGCUGGUUUCCACCAUUCGUACACUCUCUUUUGACCAGAAAUCUCUCUCCAACAUGGGGAGCGAAGGAAGCCAUAGCACACAGAAUGACACCCAUCUUGCACCUAGUGCGAAGCAACGAAAGAAUGAAGGAAAGAGGGUUGCUCUUCAAGCUAAAGUCGAUGAGCUAGAAGCUCAAAACAACAAGAUAGCAACGUCGAGAGAAUCCCUUCCACAUAUGCUCGAAGAUUAAUGACCCAAGGAUUUCUGAAAGACUCGGUCCCCUCCCACGACCCAGGCCAGCUGCCAAUCUAGGGAAGGAACGACAUGUCCUAGAGGAACAUAAAGGUAUAGGGGACUCUGAGGUAUUCCGACAGACUCGCCCUAGAAGUCAGUACGGCGAGUCCAAGGAAAAAUCACACGCCCUUGCUCAAACUUUCCUACUUCCAAGAGGCGAUGGAGACUUACGAAAGAAAAUCUCAGUGGUACAUGACUCCACUCAAGACCCAUUUAUCCUACAGCUCCUUGAGGAAGUAAACAAGUUGACGGCCGAACGUCGGGCCAAGAUACCUGACUGGAACCAACCCAGGCCUGGCCCUCUCACAAGGAGGAUCCUCGACACCCCCUUCAAGCGAAGACAAAACAAAACCUUGGUUUACAACUCUAUACUGGAAAUGAGGACCCAAUUGAACACCUUAACCUCUUUGAGUCCACCAUGGCAUAUCGGAUACAUACCGACGAAGAACAAUGUCUUCUCUUCCCCUCCACCCUCUCUCGCGAAGCUCUAAACUGGUAUUACCGUCUUCCACCUAAGACAGUAGACUCAUUUGAGGAACUGAGGAAACUGUUUGUCUCUCAACACAUCUUCCAGACCGAUCGCUUGCAUUCUGCAGAUGACUUGUACACUAUUUACCAGAAGUCGGACGAGUCACUACGAGAGUAUGCUGGUCGUUUCAGCCAUGAGUAUUCUCGUUGCGCUGAGGCAGAUGACAAGACCGCCCUCAAGGCCUUCACGGCAGGCCUACGUGAUUAUUUCUUCAAGUACAUGAUCAAUGCCAACACUUGGAAGACUUACUCUGAGGUGAUGGCAUAGGCUUACAACCAUGCCUCCGCCAAGGCAAGGACAUAUCAAGGGAAACCCCCCACAACCACCCCUUAUCAGGAAGUAGGGAGUGGAAGCCAGAUCUAACCAAAUGAGAAGACCUCAACCUUCCAAACGGCAGCGGUGCCUCCCCCUGCCUUACUUAAUACUUUGCCAAGUCAACAGACAUAUCAAUCUUAGGGUAAAAGGAAAUAUUUCCAUCCUCACCAGUCUUAUUUUAGUAAAAGGAGUAAGGGACACUACCGCGAUAACCAAGGGUAUCGCCAUGAUAAUCCCCGACCCCAGGCAGUCAACACAGUGGGUCAAGCACGUGUCAGGACAGCCCCUACCCCGAGGUAUAAGGCAUACACAUCUUUGAACGCCAUAUGUGUGGCCAUUUACCCCAGCAUAGCACACUUGAUACUGAAGCCAAAGCCGAUGCACCCUGAUUAUAAGCCCACGAAGAACACAGGCACGUUUUGCUGCUACCACGAGCAUAACGGCCAUGACGGCAAAAAGUGUAUCACCCUUGGUGAUCAUAUUGAAGCUUUGGCACGUGAAGGAAAAAUUGAUCAAUUCCUCAUUCACCCUCCAAGGGGUAACCGUAACCAACGCCAGGUAAAUGUGAUAUAUUCCAUAAAUGGUGGCGCACCCAUAUCUAAAUCUUCCAAUAGAGCCAUGAAAAAUAGUGAACGAGUUUUAAGGUCUGGUCACCAAGUGUUUCACGUGGAAGACAUCAGGGGAGGUAAGUAUCAAAAGCCUAAUUGGGAUCCAAUAUGUUUCUACCUUGAGGAAGAAAGAGGUAUCAUCUACCCUCACAACGACCCACUGAUCGUGGAAGCUCAUAUAGCCAACUUUGAAAUACGACGAAUCCUGGUAGACACAGGGGCUUCGGUCAAUAUCAUGUUUGCUGAAGCUUUCAAGGCACUUAAUAUAGCUGAACAUUUGCUCGACCGCUCAAUUUUCGCUCUGAUAAGCUUCUCCGAUGAUAUCGUGCAACCUUUGGGGAGCAUACACUUACCUUUCACCAUUGGUACAGGCCCUUACACAGCUACCAUUACCACUAACUUCCUGGUGGUUGAUUGCCCAACGGCAUACAAUGUCAUCUUCGGACGCACAGGCAUCAAUGAUCUCAAGGCCAUGGUAUCCACACAUAUGUUGUUGAUGAAAUUUCCAACCCCCUAUGGCAAUAGUUACAUCAGAAGAGAUCAACUUAGUGCACAAUCAUGUUACAACACUUCGGUCAAGCAACAACACCUGCAUAUGCCUAAGGAAACCCUUUCUAUACAUGACCAAGUCAUAAAGACCAGCCCAGACGAAGCCAACUUAGAUCUUCACGGUGGCAACAGUCAACCCGACGAUCAUCGAGAUGACUCUUUCACCCAGCAAGCACAACCCGCCGAAGAGUUGGAGAAGGUCUCUAUCUCAAAAGAUUAUCCGGAUCGCAUGGUGAAGAUUGGUACCACCUUGUCACCACCCAUUCGGUUGGCAUUGAUCUCUUUUUUGCAAGAGAACACUAAGGUCUUCGCCUGGUUAUACGAGGACAUGCCAGGCAUCUCUCCCGAUAUAAUCUAUCAUCGCUUAAGUAUUGACCCCAAGACCAAGCUAGUGAGACAGAAGCGAAGAUCUUAUGACGCUGAAUGGUACGAGGCAAUGAAGGCAGAAGUUGAAAAACUCAAAGGCAUAGGCUUCGUCCGCGAAGUCAAUUAUCCAACGUGGGUAGCAAAUGUUGUCCUUGUUAAGAACAAUCCGACCAAGGAAAGUCUCCUGCACCAAAAGGUCUUGUGGAGAAUAUGUAUCAAUUACACCGACCUAAACAAAGGAUGCCCGAAUGAUAGCUUUCCUCUUCCUCUCAUAGACAGACUUAUAGACUCUACGGUAAGGUGUGAACUCCUGAGCUUCAUGGAUGCUUACUCAGGAUACAACCAAAUCCUCAUGAACCCUUCGAACCAAGAACACACAGACUUCACUACUGACAGGGGACUAUAUUGUUAUAAAGUCAUGCCCUUCGGCCUAAAGAAUGUAGGAGCGACUUAUCAGAGACUGGUCAAUUCAAUGUUCGCCAAACAUAUUGUGAAGAGCAUGGAAGUUUACAUUGAUGAUAUGCUAGUCAAGAGCAAACAUGCUGACCAACACAUCACUAACCUAUCUGAAACUUUCACCAUUCUGAAGAGGUAUCGAAUAAGGUUGAACCCCAACAAAUGUGCCUUCGGCGUAGGCUCUGGCAAAUUCUUAGGCUUACGAUAAGCCAACGAGGCAUUGAGGCUAAUCCUGAGAAGAUCAAAGCAAUAAUUGACAUAAAGGAACCGGUAACUUCAAAAGACAUUUAGAGCCUUACUGGCAAGGUGGCAGCCUUAACUAGGUUCAUCUCUAAGGCCACCGACAGAUGUGCUCCUUUCUUCAAAGCACUUAAGGGAAGUAAGAAGUACAUUACAUGGACUGAUGAAUGUGCUGAGGCAUUUAAGAACCUCAAAGACUACAUAAGUAAAGCCUCUUUGCUCUCCAAACUUGAGGUUGGUGACACUCUCGUUAUCUAUCUGUCGGUAUCGACUUCAGCAGUAAGUUCGGUUCUCAUUCGAAAAGAUGGUAAUGUCGAACGGCCUGUCUACUACGCUAGCAAGGCCUCACAAGAUGUGAAGACACGAUACUCCAACAUUAAGAAAUUGGCUCUUGUAUUGGUCAUGUCUGCUCGAAAACUUCGCCCUUACUUCCAAGCACACUCUAUCAUCGUGCUUACCAAUUAUCCUCUUCGACAGAUACUCCAAAGUCCUGACACUUCCGGGCGAAUGAUCAAAUGGGCGACAGCAUUGGGUAAGUUUGACAUCUCCUACCAACCAAAGCCAGCUGAGAAGGGCCAAACAGUGGCAGACUUCAUCGCUGACUUCACAUAUCCUGUUGACAUUGUUUCUAAGCCUAAAGAAGUGGUUUCAUUACCCUCGGAAGCUCAUAAAAUAAAACCAACAGCCCCAGCAUAGAGUCUAUAUGUUAAUGGCUUGUCCAACCAACAGGGUUGUGGAGCAGGACUAGUCUUUACAACCCCUGACAAAGUGGCGAUAGAGUAUGCUCUUCGUUUCAAAUUCAAGGCGUCGAACAAUGAGGCUGAAUACGAAGCCCUCCUAGCAGGCUUACGUUUGGCCAAACACCUUAGGGUUAAACGAAUUGAUAUCUUCAGUGACUCCCAAUUGGUGGUUAACCAGUUCACCAACAACUUUGACGUUAAGGAUAGCUCCACGGCAGCAUAUCUGGCAUAAACACAAUUGUUGUUCAAGCACUUCCACUACCAGAUCACCCAAAUUCCUCGAGCGGCAAACAGUCAUGCAGAUGCUUUGGCUCGCCUCGCCUCGCCUCAGCGGUGGAAGACAAGAUUGGGAGAAAAAUUCAAAUCAAAUUGUUGGCAGCACCAAGCACCAUGGCUGCGGAAGUGUGCAACUUACAACAAUGAGAUAGUUGGAUUACCCUGAUUUAUAGAUUUCUUGCUAAUGGCACCCUUCCAAAUGACAAAGUCCAAGCUAAGCAGAUUCGAUACAAGGAUACCCGUUACUUGAUCAUUAAUGACCAACUCUACAAGCGGGGUUUUAACCUACCAUACCUAAGAUGCCUUACGCCCGCAGAGGCGGAAACUGUCCUUCGGGAAAUACAUGAAGGAGUCUGCGGAGAUCAUGCUGGAUCUCGAUCCCUAACACACAAGGCUUUUCGCCAAGGAUAUUACUGGCUAACAUUCCACCAAGAUGCCAUCAGAAUAUUCCGCUCAUGUGAUAAGUGUCAACGCCACUCAACUAUUCCUCACUCCUCUCCCGAACCGCUCACUCCUAUGAUCAGCCCUUGGCCUUUCGCCCAAUGGGGACUUGAUUUGAUCGGCCCAAUGCCUGCAGGGAAGGGCAAUGUUUGCUAUGCAAUCGUUGCAGUUAACUACUUCACAAAGUGGGCCGAAGUAGAACCCUUGGCAACCAUUACUGAGGAAAAAAUAGAAGACUUCGUAUCGAAGAACAUCCUUUGCAGAUUCGGCAUUCCUAAUGCGAUAGUCGCUGACAACGGGAUGUUCUACUCUAAGUUCAACAUCAACUUAUGUUUUGCCUCCCCAGCUCAUCCCCAGUCUAAUGGACAAGUUGAAGCCAUCAAUAAAAUAAUCAAGCGAACUUUGAAAACCAGCUUGGACAAGGCUAAAGGUUAUUGGCCAGAAUUUGUACCCCAAGUUCUUUGGUCAUACCGCACUUCGUAUCGGACAUCAACAGGAGAAACCCCAUUCUCACUUGCCUUUGGUACAGAGGCAGUUGUCCCAGUUGAGCUUGAGCAAGCAACGUUCUGAGUCCAGAACUACGUGCAAAGCGAAAAUGACAAACAACUUACCCUCAACUUAGAUCUAGUCGAGGAACACAGAAACCAGGCUCACUUGAAGAAUGUCGCCUACAAGCAGCGCAUCUCCAACUACUAUGACUCAAGGGUCAAACCUCAUUCUUUCAAAGUGGGGGACUGGGUAUUGAAGAAAAGAUUACUCUGCAACAGAGUCCCGAGUGAAGGAACACUUAGUCCAAACUGGGAUGGACCGUUUGAAGUUGUUGGCAUCAGUCGCCCUGGCUCCUACAAGCUUAGAAGCUCCGAUGGAAAGACCCUUAGCCAUCCAUGGAACGCUGAUCACUUGAAGUACUAUUACAAGUAAACUCACAUUGUACAAGUGUUAAGCUUCAGCCGUUCGGUAUCCUAUGUAACGAAGACUAUUUGGCAUGAAUUCAAUAAAGAGGUGAUUUAGACAACUUGAUCGUAAUCCUCUUACAUUCCUAGCAAUGAAACACUCGGGUUCAAAGCUUCAACAUGAAUGCUUCCAACAAGACUAUACAAAUAAACAAACAGCUUCAUAGUAUAUUCGUUCAAUCAUACAUUCCAACACAUUCAUACAUAAGCCAACUGUGCUUUGAAAGGGUUAUACAUAUUUUGUGUCAUUCGACACUUGCUACAAUGUGCCUAGACACCUUGCCCUUAUUCCCACCAACCAGGUGAUGAAAUGUGAAGAAGGAACUCAUCUUCAUGCCACCAACCAGGUGAUGAAAUGUACAACCCGUACUCUCCUUCAUGCCACCAACCAGGUGAUGAAAUGUACAACCCAUACUCUAUUAUCAUUUGGCAACUUGCCACUCAUGCCACCAACCAGGUGAAGAAGGAACUCAUCUUCAUGCCACCAACCAGGUGAUGAAAUGUACAACCCGUACUCUCCUUCAUGCCACCAACCAGGUGAUGAAAUGUACAACCCGUACUCUAAUAUCAUUUGGCAACUUGCCAUUCAUACCACUAACUAGGUGAAGAAGGAACCCAUCUUCAUGCCACCAACGAGGUGAUGAAAUGUACAACCUGUACUCUCCUUCAUGCCACCAAUCAGGUGAUGAAAUGUACAACCUGUACUCUAAUAUUAUUUGGCAACUUACCAUUCAUGCCACCAACCAGGGGAAGAAGGAACUCACCUUCGUACCACCAACCAAGUGAUGAAAGCAACUCACCAUUCAUUCCACCUACCAGAAGACGAGUGGUACAACUUGUACAUGUGAACCCCUAGCAUUCACAAAUAAUCAAAAACCCUCAAGCUUGACAACUCAACUAAGGGAGCACUUAUGCCCAACAAGAGUUAUAGUCACCAACAAAGUCUUAUUGCAAGCCAAUAGCAACUUCAGUGCAUGGCAUACGAAGAUCAAGCUAUUCAGCUCUCUUUCAUCUGCUUCAAACAUUUCCCCUCUGUAAUAAUGCAAACACUACAACUCGUAGAAAGUUUCACACACUCUUGAUCAAGACAGUGUGAAGCAAAACCAAUUUAUGGUGCCAACAAAAGCUUCAUCAAUGGAGGGCAACCACAAUUCUCAAAAGCUUCACACACUCUUGAUCAAGACAGUGUGAAGCAAAACUAAUUUAUGGUGCCAACAAGAGCUUCAUCAAAUGAGUUCAACCACAAUUCUCAAAAGCUUCACACACUCUUGAUCAAGACAGUGUAAAGCAAAACCAAUUUAUGGUGCCAACAAGAGCUUCAUCAAUGGAGGGCAACCACAAUUCUCAAAAGCUUCACACACUCUUGAUCAAGACAGUGUGAAGCAAAACCAAUUUAUUGUGCCAACAAAAGCUUCAUCAAAAGAGUUCAACCACAAUUCUCAAAAGCUUCACACACUCUUGAUCAAGAUAGUGUGAAGCAAAACCAAUUUAUGGUACCAACAAAAGCUUCAUCAAUAGAGGGCAACUACAAUUCUCAAACCUUCGAAGCAAAUUCAAUUUAUAUGGUUCAUCCAAACCUUCGACUAUUACAAGGUGUGGCUUGCAUCACAAUCUCUUGCUCAACAGUGUGGAAGCAAAAUUUGUAAAUGUUGUCUCUUCCACAUUUUCAAAUUUCUAGUUUCCCAAAAAAAAAAUAAAGAAAGGAAAUUCAACAAAGCUUCAUCAAUGGACGACAACUACAAAUUCUCAAAAGCUUCACACUAUCUUGAUCAAGAUAGUGUGAAGCGAAAUCAAUUCAUGAUACCCAACAAAAGCUUCAACUCCAAAGCUUCACCAACAAAAGCUUCAUCAGUGGAGGACAACAACAAAUUCUCAAAAGCUUCACACUAUCUUGAUCAAGAUAGUGUGAAGCAAAAUCAAUUCAUGGUACCCAACAAAAGCUUCACCAACAAAAGGUUCAACUCCAAAGCUUCACCUACAAAGCUUCAACUCCAAAGCUUUACCAACAAAAGCUUCAUCAAUGGAGGACAACAACAAAUUCUCAAAAACUUCACACUAUCUUGAUCAAGAUAGUGUGAAGCAAAAUCAAUUCAUGGUACCCAACAAAAGCUUCACCAACAAAAGCUUCAACUCCAAAGCUUCACCUACAAAGCUUCAACUCCAAAGCUUCACCAACAAAAGCUUCAUCAAUGGAGGACAACUACAAAUUCUCAAAAGCUUCACACUAUCUUGAUCAAGAUAAUGUGAAGCAAAAUCAAUUCAUGGUACCCAACAAAAGCUUCAACUUCAAAGCUUCACCUACAAAGCUUCAACUCCAAAGCUUCACCUACAAAAGCUUCAACACAAAAGCUUCACCUACAAAAGCUUCAACACAAAAGCUUCACCCACAAAAGCUUGACCCACAAAAGCUUGACCUACAAAAGCUUGACCCACAAAAGCUUGACCCACAAAAGCUUCGCCUACAAAAACUUCACCCACAAAAGCUUCACCCACAAAGGCUUGACCCACAAAAGUUUGACCUACAAAAGCUUGACCCACAAAAGCUUGAAACACAAAAGCUUGACCCACAAAAGCUUCACCUACAAAAGCUUCACCCACAAAAGCUUCACCCAUAAAAGCUUGACCCACAAAAGUCUACAAAAGCUUGACCCACAAAAGCUUCACCUACAAAGUUUCAACACAAAAGCUUCACCUACAAAAGCUUCACACUAUCUUGAUCAAGAUAGUGUGAAGCAAAAUCAAUUCAUGGUGCCCAACAAAGCUUCAACCUCAAAGCUUCACCUACAAAGCUUCAACACCAAAGCUUCAUCUAAAAAGCUUUUAAAAUAUAUAUAUAUAUAUUCGGAAUUUUGAAAAUUCAAAAAUUCUGAAAUUCAAAAAUUCGGAAAUUCAAAAAUUCAAAAAUUCGAAAAUUCGAAAAAAAAAUAAAAAAAAAAAAAUUCGAAAAAAAACAAAAAAAUUGCUUGGGCCUCCUCUUCUUUGGGCCUAACAACUUUCAUAACAAAUAUAUAUGAAGAAGGAGUUUUGGGCUACCACUUAGAAAGGAAAUGCCUCAUUCGUCAACUCCCUCGACUGGAGACUUGGCGGACUCCUACCAUAUGCUACUGCACCUUAAUACUCGGAAGUCUCACGACCACUCAAUAACUUGGAUUUUUCAAGUCUCCAAACGAGAAGUUUUCCUCACUCGGGAAAUUAAGGAAGCACUACCUCAACCUACAUGUUUCACUCACAAAGCUUCAACAUGCAAGCUUCAACAAAAGGAAAAAUUCAAAGAACUUAGUGAAGAAGGCCUUGGUGUAUUUAACACAAUACGUUGAAAUGAAGCAAAGCUUGUUUAUUGAUAUCUCUGAUAAGUUACAAAUAUAUACAUAUACAUGAAUCAAAAUAAACAAACAAGAGGGAGCCUUCACAAAGGUUGCUCAGGAGAAGUCUCAACAGUCGGCAGAGCCCCAGAAAGAUGAGGCACCAGAGGGUGAUUAUUCGGAGCCUCAAUACUAGGCAGAACCCUAGAAGGAGGAGGCACCGAAGGUUGAUCAUUUAGAGCUUCAUUACGCGAUACAGCCCCAGAAGACGAAGGCAAUAAAUGCCUUUGGAACAAACCCACAAACCUCUGAUGAUGAAGUAAAAUCUGACCAUCAGAUUCUUGCAGUUGGUCGAGCUUCCUCUUCAUGUUUGUAGCAUAGUCAUGUGCGAGCCUGUGCAACUAUUUAUUCUCAUGCUUGAGCCCUCUGAUCUCCUGUUUGAGACUUAUCACUUCAGCCACCAAUGAUUCAACUUGACGGGUUCGAGAAAAUAGGCGUUGGGCCAUAUUAGACACAGAACCUGCACACUGAACAUUGAGAGCUAGAGAAUCCUUAAUAGCCAACUCAUCAGACCGUUUGGAAAGUAGUCUGUUAUCUUUGGGAGUGAGAAGGUUCCUGGCCACCACCGCUAUGGUCAUAUCAUUCUUCAUCAUAGAGUCCCCAAGGGUAAGAGGACCAGUAAGGGAUAAAAAUUAGGGGCGCCAUAUGUUGUCUUGAGAAGGCAUGGCUGCCUCUUUACCAAAGUUCAAGUCAAAACGACGGUCGGAUGGGCCAGACAUUCUCAAAAAUGAUGAAAGAGAAAUGAGGUGCAAUAAAUCUCUGAAGUAAGGGGAAAAUUCCUACAAGCAAUAACUCUCUGAAUGUACUCCUUGCACACAAUUGGUGCCCUUAUAAAAGAAAGGGCAAUAGGGCCAUUGAUUCAAAAAUCGAAGAGGCACCCUCUCCGGAUUUCGAAGAGGCACUACUUUCCACACGCAACAUCAGCUCAUCGGGUACCACAGAUAACUUUGCCAUGAUCUCUGACAAAGUUUAGACACAUAAAUUUUGAAGAUCCAGCUACCCUACUAUUACCCACAAGGGUAAAGGAAUAUAACCACUGCUUGAUAACUAGAAAGUCCCAAUAUGUGUCAACCUCCGUGCUUCGUGGCAAGGCAAACUAGCAAAAAUGCCCAACCUUUACUCAUAUUCGAGAAAACACUCCCAACAAGAUUGCUUGCUCAAAAAUCGAAGAGGAACCACUCUCCAAAUCUCGAAAGCCAGACUCCCAACAGGAUUACUUUCUCAAAAAUCGAAGAGACACUGCUCUCCGAAUCUCAAGAGUCAGACUCCCAACAGGAUUGCUUCUCAAAAAUUGAAGAGGCACCAUUCUCUGAAUCUCGAGGGCCAGAUCCCCGACAAGAUUGCUUGUUUGAAAACCGAAGAGGCAUCGCUCUCCAAACUUCGAGAGCCAAAUUUCCUUGGAUAAAGCUUGUCUGUAAUCUUCACACGCAACAUCAGCUUUCCAGAUACCACAGACCACUUUUUCCAAGCCCUCUGACAAAGUUAAAACAUGUGAAGCUUGCAGCUCCCACUACAUUGCUAUGACCAAGAAGGGUAAAGGAAUAGCAUUAUUACUUGCUCAAAAAUCGAAAGGCACCGCCCUCCAAAUCUCGAGAGCCAGACUCCCAACAGGAUAACUUUUUCAAAAAUCGAAGAGGCACCGCUCUCCGAAUCUCAAGAGCCAGACUCCCAACAGGAUUGCUUUCUCAAAAAUCAAACAGGCACCGUUGUUCGAAUCUCGAGAGCCAGAUCCCCGACAGGAUUGCUUGUUCGAAAACCGAAGAGGCAUCGCUAUCCGAACUUCGAGAGCCAGAUUUCCUUGGAUAAAGCUUGUCUGCAAUCUUCACACGCAACAUCAGCUUUCCAAAUACCACAUACCACUUUUUCAAAGUGCUCUGACAAAGUUAAAAUACAUGAAGCUUGCAGCUCCCACUACAUUGUUACGACCAAGAAGGGUAAAGGAAUAGCAUUACUACUUGUUGUUAUGGAGACUCUUAUAUAUGUCGACCUUCAUCCUCCACGGACAGGCAGACCUGCAACAAUGCUUAACCCUUCCUCAUAUCUGAGAGGGCACUCCCAACGAAGCCUCUCGAAAUACUCAGCUUUCUCCCCCCCCCCAAUAAUACCUAUGCAAACCAGCCACACCAGAGCAAGAGUAUCUCAUAUCAUAAGGGUCAAAAGCAAGAGUAUCCCAUAUCAUGAUUUUUCCCUGUCUUUUCCGUUACCCUUGUUCUUACCUGCAAGACAAUGAGAAAGAGAGCAAUCAGUCAGCACUUGGAAUCAAGCUUCCAGUCAGAAACUGACUGCCUAGAACCCCUUGCCUGAUUACUUACCUGGCAUUGCCCUUGAGUACUCAUCUUCAACAUCUUAUGCUUCCAUAAAAGAUACCACAUCUGCCUGAGGAACAAAUAGGGCAAGUGAGAAGGAUAUAAGGAAGCAUGUGGAGACAAGCGCAACAGAACACGUGCCGAUUUAUCUAUUACUUCGUCAACAGCAAGUAUCCCAUAUCAUCAAGGUCGAACGCACUCUUGAUUUGAUGGACUUGUUUUGACCCUCAAAUUCUUGAGUCCGCCUUAUACUCUAGAGGAAACCAGAAAACCCUCCAGCCCGGUUCAAGAAUAAGCCUGUGGAAAGUUACUUCUUUAAAAGCAAAAGUAUCUCAUAUCAUCUCUUCUCCAUUUGCUUCUCCUUAUCCUUGUUGCUGUUUACGACACAAGGAGAAGGAGAACAAUCAACCGGAAGCCAAAGUCGAACCUCCGAUCUAGGUUGCUUGCUUGGAAGUCUAAUUGCUUACCUUGUCUGUUACCUCUUUCGGCAAAUCUCCUAACUCGGCGACUUAGGGGACUCCUACUAUAGGGUUUUGUAUCGCACUUGACCAAGCCCGAAACUACAAGUAAGCUUCAAGUGAAAUUGAUACAUUACCUUGUGCAUCUUCAUCGGUUAAAGAUACCACCCCUGGAUGGAGGAAAAGUACUUCCAGAGAAGAUGCCACAUCUACAUAUGAGACAGAUAAGGCAAGUGAAAAUGAUACCACACUUUGGUACUUAGAAGUUUCAUGAUUACUCAAUGGCUUGGAUCUUACAAGUCCCCAACCGAUGAGCUUCCCUCACUCGGGAACUUAGGGGAGCACUGUUUGUACCAUACUUGACUAAUCUCGAAACUAAUGAGCACUGGUCAACGUUAUACCGUCAAGGACCCAGAAGAGUUUCCCUCCAACCAAGAGGCCAAUCACAGCGCGAAACGUGUCGACAUCAUAAGCCAAUCACAACAUGACACAUGUCAACAUCAGAAGCCAAUCACAACACGACAUGUGUCAAUGUCAGAAUGAAACUAGAAACUCUCUUCUAUAAAUAGAGAUCACUCUCUCACAAUAUUUCCUAAUGUCAAUUGUACUAAAUCAUUCACUAGUACUCACUAAAGGAGAGCUUGAACCUAUGUACUUGUGUAAACCCUUCACAAUUAAUGAGAACUCUUCUACUCCGUGGAUGUAGCCAAUCUGGAUGAACCACGUACAUCUUGUGUUUGCUUCCAUGUCCCUAUCCAUUUACAUAUUUAUCCAUACUAGUGACCGGAGCAAUCUAGCGAAGGUCGCAAACUUAACAUUUUCUGUUGUACCAAAGUCCUCACUGAUUUUGUGCAUCAACACAAGAUAUUCAAGGAAAAUGUGGCGUUUAUAGAAUUUUCUAAUAAAGAUGCAAAUAAACCUUAUAAAUUAAGUGUCAACCAAUUUGCUGACCUUACAAAUGAAGAGUUCGAAGCCACAAGAAAUGGAUUCAAGGGCCAUGAGUGUUCCACAAAGGCUACUUCUUUCAAAUAUGAAAAUGUGACCAUAACAUUACCAGCAACAAUGGAUUGGAGAAAGAAAUGUGAUGUAACCCCCGUUAAGGACCAAGGCCAAUGCGGUAAGUACAUAAACCUCUAGAUUCUUGUCAUUAAUUUAGAGAAACACUAUAUAUACAUAUACAUAUAUAUACAUACAUAUAUAUAUAUAUAUAUAUUCAUCUUUUAUUUUUUCCUUAAUCUGACUAUUUUUAUUCCCAUCAAAAUACAGGAUGUUGUUGGGCUUUUUCAGCAGUAGCCGCCACCAAAGGAAUUACACAGUUUACAACUGGUAACUUGAUCUCUUUGUCUGAGCAAGAGCUCGUUGAUUGUGACACCGCUGGGGAAGACCAAGGUUGUGAGGGUGGCUUGAUGGACGAUGCGUUCCUGUUCAUCCAACAAAAUCACGGGAUUAGCACAGAAGAUAAUUACCCCUACAACGGUGUUGAUGGUACAUGUAACACCAAGAAGGAAGCAAUCAUUGCAGCCAAGAUAACUGGCUUUGAGGAUGUGCCUGCAAAUAUAGUGAAAAGGCCCUUCUAACCGCUGUUGCUCAUCAACCUGUUUCCGUUGCCAUCGAUGCUAGCGGUUCCAACUUCCAAUUCUAUUCAAGUAGUGUAUUCACCAGAACUUGUGGAACGAGUAUUGACCAUGGUGUUACCGCUGUUGGAUAUGGUGUGAGUGAGGAUGGGACUAAGUAUUGGCUAGUGAAGAACUCAUGAGGUGCAGAAUAGGGAGAAGCUGUGUACAUAAGAAUGCAAAGAGAUGUUGCUGCAGCUGAAGGACUUUGUGGGAUUGUUAUGUCUGCCUCUUACCCCACAGCUUAGUUAAUUAAAUCAAUGCCUACUAGCUAUAUGCCUUAUAGGUAGUCUGAUAUGUAUCAACCUGUAUGUAUAAAAUAUUUAUAGGAUAAUCAAGAUAAUUGUUGGACAUUUAUCAUCUAAAUUUAAUAGACUCGCUUUCUUGGUCAGGUGUCUAAGAAUUCAUGAUCACACACUAUUAGAUUUGAUAUGAAAGAUUAAUAACCAAAAUCACACAUUUAUUCUCCAUCUUAAUCACCCGAUGACCAAAAGAACCUAUGGUCCAAGUUCACAUUGGCCUCCCACUAAUCAAAAGAUGUGCAAUCAAACAUCUAUAUAUUCAGGAAGCUAUUGGGCUUUUACAGCAGAGAGAGCCGUUGAAGGAAUUACUCGGCUUACAAAUGGUCAAUUAAACUUUGUCCGAGCAACAAGUGGUUGAUGGUGAUACUCGCACUGAAGACCAAGGUUGUGGUGGUGGCUACCUUGACGGCGCCUUUGAGUUCAUCAAUCAAAACCGUGUGAUUAGCUCCGCAAGGACCGCAACGCCGGUGUUAGACGGUACAUGGAGCACCGAAGGCCCUCAUACAACCAAUAUAACUGGCUAUGAAGACGUGCCGAUAAGCAAUGAGAAGGCCCUGUAAGACUCAUGUUGAGUUGUCAAUUAUUAUGAAUCAAAUUAUUUAAAAGGCAAAUAACUUGAUCUUCAAGAUAUUUGACUUUUAACGUAAUUCAAUAUUGGUUAGUAAGAAUUAUGGAACCAAGAUAUAUUAGUUAACUAAUUGAAACCCUAAUUAAGUAAGACAUAAUUGUAUAUGCCUUCGUGGGACACCAUUAAGAUUAAAUGGUGAUUUGGUGUAUUCCUCCAAUUACUAUAACCAGUGAGAUUGGAGGAACCCUAAUCACUAUAAUAAGGGUGUCCCUGCUUUCAGAACACACAUUCGAUUCCGUGCAAACCCUAUUAUUGCUGAAACACUUUCGCUUGUUGAAAGUAGAAGACUCUUUCCGCAAGAGUCAUGUCUUCCGUAUGCUAAAGAUAAGUAAAUUGUAAUUAAUUUAUUGUAAUUUUGGUUUAUCAAAUCUGUAAUCCUAAUGUCUUGUUUUUCUUAUGAUUUCAGAAAUUUCUUACAAAUCCUUCUCAAGGCUUGCUAAUCUACCUAUUUCUGUUUUUCAUUGAUGUCGGAGAAGAAGAUUUCAUGUCAGUCCUAUAACAGUGGUCAUUAGAGGGUAUGUGGACUAACCACCGACCAAUGUGUUUUCGAUAUUAGUCAAGGGAUAGGUGUUGAUGGAGAACAUACAUGGUAAAAGUAUACCGCAAGUGAUGUUUUCUCAAUGAAAUAAGAACAUGUGCAACUCUGGCGCAAGUGGUGUUUCCGCUUUUAAUUGCUCUGACGCAACUCUGGUCGCACAAAGUAUGCAUUAGCAGUUACUAAAAUGUCAACUGUAGGUCUGAGAGCAAGUCCACCCCUAAGGACUUUGUGCCAACACCCAGCCCAUUUAUCCACUUCAGUGAACAGUAACAGACUUCAAUGAACAGUAAUAGGCCAAUGAAUCUCCACCCCUAAAAAAAUGCGUUGGCACCCAGUGAAAAAAUGUGCUGGCACAAACGAUCUCCAUCCCUACAAAAUGCGCUAGCACCCAGCCCAUUUAAAAUAUUUUUAAAUUUUUUCUAAAAAAAUAAAAUAGUUUUAAUUUCGGGUAGGAUUUUUAACCAAUCUCGUCACGCCACAUGUCAUUAUCCGAACAUACUAUUUUGUGAAUAGAUUUCCACUAAGAUUUUCAACCAAUCCCGAUGCGUCACGUGUCACUUCCGUUUUACAAUAAUUUAGCCAAGAUUUUGAUAAGAUUUUCAACCAAUCACGUCAUGCCACGUGUCAUUAUCCGAACAUACUAUUUUGUGGAUAGAUUUUCAAUAAUAUUUUUUACCAAUCCCAACACGCCAUGUGCCACUUCCGGUUUACAAUAAUUUAGCCAAGAUUUCGAUAAGAUUUUCAACCAAUCACGUAGUGCCACGUGGCAUUGUCCAGAACCUCAUCCUUUCUUUUUUUGUCCAUAUAAACCCUACAACCCUACAUCCAUCCUCACACCAAGCUCAAUCCUUCUUUUUAGCUCAGAAUCCAUGUUCAUCAUUUUCAAAUCUUGAGUUCUUAUUACAAUGUCUUCUUCAAGGAGAGUGUAAACAGUUGUAGGAGCAACAGAAAAGGUUGUUGGCACAACAGGCAGAAUUGGCCAAUCUUGAGGAAGGUGGAGGUGGAGAUGAGGCUUUCUUCAUGGAGGAGGAUAAGGAUGAUCACCAUUUAAGGCAGAGGGCCUCACAUUCCCGUCGUGUCAUGGAAGCCGUGGGUCAGAUAGCCAAACCAAGACGUGCUGCAAACCUCGAUAGAAAAAGGGAAAGAUGAGGUAAAGAUCUCUUGGAAGAUUAUUUUAUUCCCAACAGCAUAUUCCCUUAUCAUGUUUUUAGAUGUCGUUUUAUAAUGCAAUGAAAUUUGUUCGACAAAAUCAUAAGUGCUAUUUGCAACCAUGAUCCAUACUUUGUGUAAAAAGAUGAUGCUUUUCAUGUUCUAGAUCUUAUUCCCGAGCAAAAAAUUACGGCAUCCUUGCGAAUGCUUGUAUAUGGAGCAUCUGCAGAUCAAGUGGAUGAGAUCGCGAGGAUAGGAAGAACAACUGUUCUGGAGUCCCUAAUGCGGUUUUGCUCUACAAUUGAAGCCCUCUACACCAAUGAGUACCUCCGGACACCCACGCCAAGGGACAUGCGAAGGCUUCUAAGGAAUGGUGAGAUGCGAGGUUUCCCUGGCAUGAUUGGAAGCAUCGAGUGCAUGCACUGAACUUGGAAAAACUGUUCAAGUGCGUGGCAAAGAGCUUAUGACGACAAAAAAUGAGCCAAAAGCAUCAUUUUGGAAGCGGUGGCUUCAUUUGAUACAUGGAUUUGGCAUGCUUUUUUUGGUGUUCCAGGAGCUCAGAAUGACCUAAAUAUCCUUGCCCAAUCCCCAGUGUUCGACGAACUGCUGCAAGGAAAAUCGCCGAGAUGCACAUAUUGGGUUAAUGGUACCCAAUACAAGGGAUCAUACUACCUUGCAGAUGGCAUUUACCCAAGGUGGUCAACAUUUGUCAAAACAGUGCCACAUCCACAGACUGAAAAGGAAAAACACUUUGCAAAAUGUCAAGAAAGGUGUAGGAAGGAUGUCGAGUGUUGUUUUGGUAUCCUGCAAGCUCGUUGGGCGAUUGUCAGGGCUUCAGCUAGAAUGUUUGAUGUCGAGGCUUUUCGAUCCAUCAUGAUGACGUGUAUUAUUCUCCACAAUAUGAUCGUUAAAGAUGAGUAUGAUUAUGAUGCCGUCGAUGAAUAUGAGCCGGAUCCGAUGAACAACUCAAGAACACGUAUCUAUUGUGCUCAUGACCAGACUGAAGAUCCCGUGCAACACGAGCCGUUGGAACACGAUGGACGUUACAAUGAAUUGAUCGUUUAGCGGUACACUAAUGUGCAAGAGCCAUACAGGCACGUAACCCGCCAGAAUGACUUGAUUGAGCACCAGUGGGGAUUGCAUGAAGGCAAAGAUAAUUAAAUGAGGUUUGUGGUUGAAGAAUAAAUUGUAUUUUUUUUUUUUUAAGUUUAUGUAAUUCUAUGUAAUGUGUUUUGUUUUUAAGUUUAUUUGGUGAGUUUAUGUAAUCUUAUUUGGUGAGUUUAUGUAAUCUUAUUUCAUGUGUUUAAAUAAAGUACAAAAAUAAAUAAAUAAUUGCAUUAAAAUUGCAUAAUAAAUUAAAUAUAAAUAAAUAAAGUUUUAAAAAUAACAUAAGAAAUUAAAUAAAGUUCAAAAGCAAAAACAUAAAAAUUACAUAAGAAAUUAAAUAAAGUUCAAAAGAAAAAAAAUGAAAAAAACAUAAAAAUUACAUAAGAAAUUAAAUAAAAUUCUAAAAAAAUAAACAAUUACAUAAAAAUUAUACAAAGUCUCUGGAGUUAGGAUAUGUGGUGCUAGGAUCUUGGUUGCCAUGAUUUGUGUAGCUAGAACCCCCUUGACUUGUUUCCGCAUCUCUUGCACGCCUCCUUCACAUGACAUCUCUUUUUUUUUUAUGUCCAAAAAUAUUUUGAAAUGUGGUGUAAAGGUGGAAGAUGAGGGUUAGGUAUUUAUAGAAAAAAAAUAACAUUUUUAAAAAAUUUCUAUAUUUUUUUUUAAUUUUCUGUAUUUUUUAAUAAUUUUUCUAUAUUUUUUUAUAAUUUUUAAUUAAUUUUAAUAUAGUUAAUUAAUAUGGACCAUUGGAUUUGAAAAAUAUUCAAAUCCAAGAGCCAGGGAGUUGCCACAUGGCCAACGGUCAUAUUUCUGAACAUUGGGCCUUUUUUUUAUUUUUUUUUAUUUUUUGUGAAAAAAACGUGGACCAUUAAUCUGUGAUCGAACGGUCCAUUUUAAAAGUCAAAUUUAAAUUUUUUUUUUACCGUUGGAAAUCCAAUGGUCUACAAAAAAUAGUCAUUGGAAAUCCAACGGCUAAAAGUGGGCCACGUUGCCUACUCGGGUUGUGGUAUGAGUGCGCCUGCGCACAGGGCCCCGCAUCUGAAAUGUUGUCGGGCACUCGCGCAACGGGCCCCGUGACAUGCACGCGCCAGCAAACUGCCCGGCUUCUUGGUCAGUCUGUUUUGGGCUGGCCCAGAGACCAGCACGGGCUGGGUGCCAGGCUGUUUUGCGGGCUGGAGUAAAUGGACAGGGUGCUGGGCUGCUUUUUGGACUGGGUGUUAGGCAAUGUCCACUCCGGUGGACUUGCUCUAUUCAUUCCAUCUCCUUCUCUCACAUUCUUUAUUUUGUCUUUCUCUUUUUAUAAAAAAUUAAUAUAAUAUGUUUACAUGGUUUAACUGUGACAGUUCAAAUAUGAGAGAAAGAAAAAUAGAGGAACGAGAAUCCUACUCCCUCGGUUGGUGGGUGCAUCAUUGUCCACAGAAACUAAGGCCUUCUGAGUAAGGAUGUAAUCAAACCGUGGAGCCUAUUCCUUGAUCCCAACCGAGCUGUUGUUGAACUGUUAUCAGCCAGAAGAAACUCCCCGUGCAUGCAUAAAAGGAUUCAAAGAAUCCACAGACUCAAUAGCACUUUCAUUAAUGAGAACAUGAAUGUCCUUUUUUAGGGUAAUGUUAGGGAGACCAAAUUUUUGAACCAAAUGAUGUGUCAUCAAUAGGAAAUAAGCACGUUAAUCAACGCCUAAGUAAUAAUUCAUUCAUUAACAAUCACAUCAUUUAGUUUGCAAAUUUGGUUUAAAGAAUUUGGUGUCCUAACAUUAUCCCCUUUCUAAGCAUGUGACCUGAUAACAAGCCGAUUAGUUAACGCCUUGACAAUCCGUUGUUUUCGGGUCGUUUCCGAUCAGGUUAACAUGUCGUGUAAGAAAUUACCCGGUCUAUCAAAAACUCUCUCAAAAGGAAGACUCUUCAUGGACUUUCUCAAAACUUUUUAUUUCAAUUUUUGGUUUUUAGUUGAAAAUUGUAUGUAGUUACCAUAUAAGAUUAUUUCAAAUGAAUAAAAACAGAAGUAAAGACAAAAUAAUGAUUAUCAAACCAUCCUUAAAUAAAGUAAAUCCAAGAUGGUUGACGAUGCACGAUUACAUUUCAGAACACAAUGUGAACAAAUAUAUUACGCACACAAGGACAAAAGGUAAGCAUCAGGUCCCAAAUUAAAUGGAAUGUCAAUUUACUAAAAAUAAUCUUAUAGGUCUAUAUCAACAUAUUUUCCAAGGCACGUACCACGCUGAUCAUUUUUUGGGGCACUGAGUAGUAUAUAAAUCGUAGAGCAAAUCUACCAUUUCAGUAUAUCUGCUCAUCAUCAUAUCCUUUACCAAAAUCCAGCUUGCUUCUACCACACUAGCUAGCUACCCAUGGAGAUCCUAAACCUGCAGCUAUGGAAGUAUAUGUGCUUGGGCUUGAUCCUCAUGUUGGGAGCUUGGUCCUCUGAAGCCACUUCUCGCAGUCUGAAAGAUGCAUCAAUGUAGCAAUGGUUGGCUCUUUAUGGUCGAGUAUAUAACGACAUCAAUGAGAAGGAAACUCGUUUCAAGAUAUUCAAGGAAAAUGUGGCGUUUAUAGAAUUUUCCAAUAAAGAUGCAAAUAAACCUUACAAAUUAAGUGUCAACCAAUUUGCUGACCUUACAAAUGAAGAGUUCAAAGCCACAAGAAAUGGAUUCAAGGGCCAUGAGUGUUCCACAAAGGCUUCUUCUUUCAAAUAUGAAAAUGUGACCGUACCAUUACCAGCAACAAUGGAUUGGAGAAAGAAAGGAGCUGUAACCCCCGUUAAGGACCAAGGCCAGUGCGGUAAGUACACAAAACCUCUAGCUUCUUGUCAUUAAUUUAGAGAAACACUAUAUAUACAUAUACAUACAUAUAUAUAUAUAUAUAUAUAUAUAUAUAUAUAUAUUCAUCUUUUAUUUUUUCCAUAAUCUGACUACUUUUGAUUCCAAUCAAAAUACAGGAUGUUGUUGGGCUUUUUCAGCAGUAGCCGCCACCGAAGGAAUUACACAGCUUACAACUGGUAACUUGAUCUCUUUGUCUGAGCAAGAGCUCGUUGAUUGUGACACUGCUGGGGAAGACCAAGGUUGUGAGGGUGGCUUUAUGGACGAUGCGUUCCAGUUCAUCCAACAAAAUCACGGGAUUAGCACAGAAACUAAUUACCCCUACAACGGUGUUGAUGGUACAUGUAACACCAAGAAGGAAGCCAUCAUUGCAGCCAAGAUAACUGGCUUUGAGGACGUGCCGGCAAAUAGUGAAAAGGCCCUUCUAACCGCUGUUGCUCAUCAACCUGUUUCCGUUGCCAUCGAUGCUAGCGGUUCCGACUUCCAAUUCUAUUCAAGUGGUGUCUUCACCGGAACUUGUGGAACGAGUCUAGACCAUGGUGUUACCGCUGUUGGAUAUGGCGUGAGUGAGGAUGGGACUAAGUAUUGGCUAGUGAAGAACUCAUGGGGUGCAGAAUGGGGCGAAGCUGGGUACAUAAGAAUGCAAAGAGAUGUUGCUGCAGCUGAAGGACUUUGUGGGAUUGCUAUGUCUGCCUCUUACCCCACAGCUUAGUUAAUUAAAUCAAUGCCUACUAGCUAUAUGCCUUGUAGGUAGUCUGAUAUGUAUCAACCUGUAUGCGUAAAAUAUUUAUAAGAUAAUCAAGAUAAUUGUUGGACAUUUAUCAUCUAAAUUUAAUAGACUUGCUUUCUUGGUCAUCUGGUGUCUAAGAAUUCAUGAUCACACACUAUUAGAUUUGAUAUGAAAGAUUAAAAACCAAAAUCACAUAUUUAUUCUCCAUCUUAGUCACCCGAUGACCAAAAGAACCUAUGGUCCAAGUUCGCAUUGGCCUCCCACUAAUCAAAAGAUUUGCAAUCAAACAUCUAUAUAUUCAGGCAGCUAUUGGGCUUUUGCAGCAGCGAGAGCCGUUGAAGGAAUUACUCAGCUUACAAAUGGUCAAUUAAACUUUGUCCGAGAACAAGUGAUUGAUUGUGAUACCCGCGGUGAAGACCAAGGUUGUGGUGGUGGCUACCUUGACGGCGCUUUUGAGUUCAUCAAUCAAAACCAUGUGAUUACCUCCGCAAGGACCCCAACGCCGGUGCUAGACGGUGCAUGGAACACAGAAGGGCCUCCUACAGCCAAUAUAACUGGCUGUGAAGACGUGCCGAUAAGCAAUGAGAAGGCCCUAUAAAACUCAUGUUGAGUUGUCAAUUAUUAUAAUCGAACUACUUAAAAAGCAAAUAACUUGAUCUUUUAUAUAUUUAAUUUUUAACGUAAUUCAAUAAACCAAGAUAUAUUAGUUGACUAAUUGAAACCCUAAUUAAGUAACACAUGUUGUACAUGCCUUUGUGGGACACCAUUAAGAUUGAAUAGUGAUUUGGUGUAUUCCUCCAAUUACUAUAACAAGUGAGAUUGGAGGAACACUAAUCACUAUAAUAAGGGUGUCCCUACUUUCACAACACACACGUUCGAUUCCAAGCAAACCCUAUUAUUGCUGGAACACUUCCACUUGUUGAAAGGAGAAGAUUCUUUUGUCAUCCGCAAGAGUAUACCAAAGAUGAGUAAAUUGUAAUUAAUUUAUUAUAAUUUUAGUUUAUCAAAUCCGUAAUCUUAAUGUCUCGUUGUUUUUCUUAUGAUUUCAGAAAUUUCUUACAGAUCCUUCUCAAGGCUUUGCUAAUCUACCUAUUUCGGUUUUCAUAUUUCAAAUAAAUAAAACAAAACUAAAGACAAAAUAAUGAUUAUCAAACCAUCCUUAACUAAAAUAAAAAUCCAAGAUGGCUGAGGAUCCACGAGUACAUUUCAGAACACAAUGUGAACAAGUAUAUUACGCACACAAGGACAAAAGGUAAGCAUCAGGUCCCAAAUUAAAUGAAAGGUCAAUUUACUAAUAAUAAUCUUACAGGUCUAUAUCAUCAUAUUUUCUAAGGCACGUACCACGCUGAUCAUUUUUUGGGGCACUGAAAUUGCUAUAAACGCCAUUCUCUCUACCACCUUGAGUUGUAUAUAAAUCGCAGAGCAAGUCUACCAUUUCAGUAUAUCUGCUCAUCAUCAUAUCCUUUACCAAAACCCAGCUUGCUUCUGCUACACUAGCUAGCUACCGAUGGAGAUCCUAAACCUGCAGCUAUGGAAGUAUAUGUGCUUGGGCUUGAUCCUCAUGUUGGGAGCUUGGUCUUCUGAAGCCACUUCUCGCAGUCUGCAAGAUGCAUCAAUGUACGGGAGAUACAAGCAAUGGUUGGCUCGUUAUGGUCGCAUAUAUAACGACACCAAUGAGAAGGAAACUCGUUUCAAGAUAUUCAAGGAAAAUGUGGCGUUUAUAGAAUUUUCUAAUAAAGAUGCAAAUAAACCUUACAAAUUAAGUGUCAACCAAUUUGCUGACCUUACAAAUGAAGAGUUCAAAGCCACAAGAAAUGGAUUCAAGGGCCAUGAAUGUUCCACAAAGACUUCUUCUUUCAAAUAUGAAAAUGUGACCGUACCAUUACCAGCAACAAUGGAUUGGAGAAAGAAAGGAGCUGUAACCCCCGUUAAGGACCAAGGCCAGUGCGGUAAGUACAUAAACGUCUAGUUUCUUGUCAUCAAUUUAGAGAGACACUAUAUACAUAUAUACAUAUACAUAUAUAUAUAUAUAUAUAUAUAUUCAUCUUUUAUUUUUUCCUUAAUCUAACUACUUUUGAUUCCAAUCAAAAUACAGGAUGUUGUUGGGCUUUUUCAGCAGUGGCCGCCACUGAAGGAAUUACACAGCUUACAACUGGUAAAUUGAUCUCUUUGUCUGAGCAAGUGCUCGUUGAUUGUGACACCGCUGGUGAAGACCAAGGUUGUGAGGGUGGCUUGAUGGACAAUGCGUUCCAGUUCAUCCAACAAAAUCACGGGAUUAGCACAGAAGCUAAUUACCCCUACGACGGUGUUGAUGGUACAUGUAACACCAAGAAGGAAGCCAUCAUUGCAGCCAAGAUAACUGGCUUUGAGGAUGUGCCGGCAAAUAGUGAAAAGGCCCUUCUAACCGCUGUUGCUCAUCAACCUGUUUCCGUUGCCAUCGAUGCUAGCGGUUCCGACUUCCAAUUCUAUUCAAGUGGUGUCUUCACCGGAACUUGUGGACGAGUCUUGACCAUGGUGUUACCGCUGUUGGAUAUGGCGUGAGCGAGGAUGGGACUAAGUAUUGGCUAGUGAAGAACUCAUGGGGUGCAGAAUGGGGCGAAGCUGGGUACAUAAGAAUGCAAAGAGAUGUUGCUGCAGCUGAAGGACUUUGUGGGAUUGCUAUGUCUGCCUCUUACCCCACAGCUUAGUUAAUUAAAUCAAAACCUACUAGCUAUAUGCCUUGUAGGUAGUCUGAUAUGUAUCAACCUGUAUGUGUAAAAUAUUUAUAAGAUAAUUAUGAUAAUUGCAUGGGUAUUUCUCAUCUUAAUUUAAUAGACUCGCUCCCUUAAUAUUGAUUCUCAAGAACUCGUAAUCACACACCUUUAAAUUUGAUAUGAAAGAUUAAAAUUAGGACACCAAAAGUACUCAUUUAAAUUUGAUACUGGUUCUCAAGAACUCGUAAUAACAUAUGGUCCAAGUUGGCAUUGCUUUCAAACAUCCAUUCAGGCAGCUGUUGGGCUUUUGCAGCAGCGGGAGCCGUAGAAGGAAUUACUGAGGUUACAAAUGGUGAAUUAAACUUUGUCCGAGCAACAAGUGGUUGAUUGUGAUACCGGCGGUGAAGACCUAGGUUGUGGCGGUGGCUACCCUGACGGUGCGUGCUUUUCAGUUCAUCAAUCAAAACCACGAGAUUAGCUCCGCCACACCGGUGUCAGACGGUACAUGCAACACCCAGGCCCCAUCACACAACCAAUAUAACUGCCUAUGAAGGCUUGUUAAUCUACCUGUUUCUGUUUACAUUGAUGUUGGAGGAGAAUAUUUCACGUCAGUCCUAUAAAAAAAGGUCGUUAUAGGGGUAUGUGGACUAUACAUCGACCAAUGAUUUUCCGCCAUUGGUCAAGGGAUCAGUGACGAUGGAGAUUUUACAUGGCAGGUAAACCGCAACAUGAUGUCCCGUGUCAAUGAAAUCAGGACAUGUUAACAAAAUUUUCCGUGUCUUUUUUUAUUGGCGCAGGACGCCACUGGGACAACGUGCCAGUGCCAUAUACGCCCUAUAUUAUCGCGUCCAAGAUUGUAUCCGCAAAAGAAGCACCAAUUUUAGAAAUGCAAAAAUUGAAAAAUACAUCCGUAAACCAAUAACCAGACCUCUCUAAGGAACCACCAUCCGCAGUAACAUUAUUAAUAUUUUAACUACUUAGUACUACCACAAAAUCAUAACACAACUUGCAAUGUGAUGAAGUACGCAUGAUCAGGAAAAACAGAAUAAACUAGGACAAACAACGACACACCUUAAAUAUGGAACCAAACGGAAUUCAUAGGCCAGCUCAGGCAGUAGGUUCGUCGAGUUUUAGUUGCUCUGACGCAACUCUGGUCGCACAAUCUGCAUCAGCAGUCACUGAAAUGUCAACUGUAGGUCUCAGUUCAGCGCAUACUUUGAUGGCUCCAUGCACUGGAUCUGACAUGAAGUUGCUGAUGAGGUCUCGGUUGAUGGGUGCACCAUUGUCCACAGAAACUAAGGCCUGCUGAGUAAGGAUGUAAUCAAAUCGUGGAGCCCAUUUCCUUGAUCCCAACCGAGCUGUUGUUGAACAG